rnacentral:lncRNA from 1 species
GAAGUGGGAGGUGCUUCUUUAAAUUUACUAGAAGAAGUAUCAACUGUCCUACUACGGAAGUUAUCAAGCUGAGAAGAAGUAGAUGAUGGCUUCAAGUCCUCAACAGAGAAUUUUCUCGAACCACAACUUUGAUUUUCCAGAUAAAUCUUUUCAGCUCUACAAGCCAAGGCACCAAGAUUUACAGGAAGAUCUGACCUUAUAAUCUUUUCAAGAAAUAUAGCCGGGAAGUUAAAUCUUGGUAUCACAUUAACUUCAUACAGCAAAACUGCACUAGAGGACCUGAUAGCAGACAAAAGCAAAAUAGGGCAUAUUAGACUUAAUCUUUUUUUUCGCUCACAAGAAGUAGGAGAGCUUCACGGGGUUGAAAAGAUAAGCUAGUGAUGAACUUAAGCUGGAUGUUCAUCAAAAGAAAAUCAAUAAUAAGGUAGUAUACUACUAUAUAAGAUACAUAUAUUUAUGUCUUUAUUGGUUUACCUCCCAUCCCACUUAUCUGAGCAAAGAAAAAUGAUCACCAGAUGCAUACCUUGGACCAGAUCUUAUGGACCAUUUUCCUUCAAACUUCUUGAAGUCACCAUCUACCAUCGAGAAAUGGAGUUCUCGCCCAUUAAUCUGAAAGCAUAAUCAUGAACGAAUAAUCAAGUAAGGCAAUAUAACUUAAUAUAGAAUAGAAAAUGGAGGAGAUCCAUCAUCGUUUUUCAGAUUUGCUAAAUCUAACUCAUACAACUAAGAAAUAUAUCAGAGAGAAACACAAUAGCGUAGCUCCACAGCAAGAAGAACAACACAUGCUGCAAAAACAUAAAUGUUGCAUUCACACUCUCGUGGACUGGCCAACUGAUCAUCCACUAGUACUUUUCAGUGGCAUUUCACAUAAUGACAUAACAUUGUCGCCUUGUCGGUGAUGUCAAAUGUUGGAUACUCCAAAACUGUUCCAUUGCAAUUUAGCAGUUAUAAUGGAAGUCAAUCUGCGACAGCACGUACGGAGUCAUGGAUUUCCUGGAGAUCCAACACGACACGCGCCUCAAUGUGCCAGUACAACGCUUGCUGCAGGCCUCUCUGCUCCAGCCAUAUCCGCCCUUCAUGCGGGCACGGAAUCGUCCCACUGCAAGCAGGCACGAACAAAAUCACCCCACCUUCAGAAUGCGGGCUUGAUGAGGGCACCAUCAGUGCAAUCACAGCUCAGAAGCGACAAAUCGAGACGAGAAAAAUGCAGACCUCUGGACGAGGUUGGGGAUGAAGUCGGCGAGGCGCUCGUAGUCGGUGAUGACCUGCCAGAGGGUGUCGACGUCGGCGGCCACAGGCACGGACGCGAGCACCCGCCGCUCCCGCCACGACACCACGUCGACGUCGCACUUGACGCCGCGCGCCGACGCGGGGGACCCGGCCUCCGACGCGCCCGCGCGUCCUCCGUGGUAGUGCUGGUGGUCGGCGCCCCAGUGGUCCCCUGUGGCGGCCGCGGCCGAGGCGGCGACGGAGCGCCCGGAAGGGGCCCGCGAGAGCGCGGCCGGCGCGGAACGGAGAGCCCCGCGCGCGCGAGGGCUAGGGCUCGGGAUCCCCGGGAGGAAGGAGGCGGUGGGCGAGGCGAGAGCUCUCAUCGCUCGUGCGCUCGAGUCGAGCGGGAGAGUGUACUUGCCCACUGGGAGUCGUGUCGAGGAAGGAGACGGAGACGCGCGUGGUGACCGGAGCCGUUGCCUCUGGCUCUCGCUGUCUCGAAGGACCGCCGGAGUCUCUGCUGAGUGGGACCAGUGGUAUGGUCCCACGUGUCGGUGGCGUGGCUUGGGUCGACGGCGACGAGCGAUUGUUUCUGUUGCGACGGUGAGAGGCGAGCGGGGGAUGUGUGGCGGGAAGGCGAGGUGGCACCGUAGCCACUCGUGGCGCGUGGGGACGGGCCCCACGUGUCAGUAUUGUCAAGUUGGAUGAAUCUUCUGUGGGGUUGGGAUGUCAGUGCGUGUGCAGUCCAGGCUCCCAUGUGUGGUGACUGGUGAGCGGGCAGCGGGCCGACGUGGCCCGUCCUGCGCCUCCCGCGCGGCGAAAUCUUGGUUUUUUUUGAGAGGAUGCGGCGAAAUCUUGGGCCCAGUUAGCAAAAUGUUGGUAAUACUUUUGUUUUUAUUUGACAAAUAUUAUUUAAUUAUAGAUUAGCUAAACUUAAAAUAUUUAUCUCAUAAUUUACAGGCAAACUGUAUAAUUAGUUUUUGUUUUCAUUUAUAUUUAAUGCUUCAUGCAUAUACCGUAAGAUUCGAUGUGAUGAGAAAACUUAAAAUUUUUUGAAAACUAAACAAGGCCUUAGUUCACCCCAAAAACAAAAAAACUUUUCAAAAUUCUUCGUCACAUCGAAUCUUGCGGUACAUGCAUGGUGCAUUAAAUAUAGAUGAAAACAAAAACUAAUUGUACAGUUUACAGGUAAAUCGCGAGAUAAAUCUUUUGAGCUUAGUUACUCCAAACAAUAUUUGCUAAAUAAAAACGAUAAUGCUACAGUAUCCGAAAUCCAAACGACCAGGCCCAGUCGCUGCUUAGCACGCAAUGGACCGACCGACGGACAUCGGGCUGGGUCGUCCAGUUGCAAACAUAAACCGGCCAAAUCUGGAGGCCCAGCCAAAACAAUUCUACACCGCAAGUUAAAAUUGAGCAGAAAAAAUAUACUAAACAAUGUUCAAUAUCAUCUAGUACUAUAUUUAAAAUUAUAAAAUACUGAACAAUAUUGAAACGUGAAAACUGAACGAUACUGAAUUCUGUUGUGUGCCUUGUGUGUGCAUAGUACUCCGUGCUAAUUAUUGCUUGUAAUAAUGGAAAAACACACAUUUGAGCCUAAUAAAAUGGAAACUCUCAGAAAAUACAGAACAAACUGAGGCCUUGUUUAGUUCCCGAAAUUAUGGGCCGAAAUGCAAAAAAUUUUGCAAUUUGGCCUUUUGGAAGUAAACGAGCCCGAAAUUUUUUGGGCCAAUUUCGCAGGCCGAAACGGCGGCUCUAGCAGCCCAAUUCCAGGGCGCGGUCGUUCUUUACCCGGGCGCCGCGUGAAACCCUAACCCGGCCGCAUUCGCCCACCCGCCGCGCACACCGCCCGCCGCGACGCUCUCCUCUCUCGCGUUCCUUCCCUCCGCCGCCGCGACGCUCUCCUCUCCCCCCGUUCCUUCCCUCCGCCGCCGCGAGGCUAUCCUCUCCCUCCGCCGCGACGCUCUCCCCUCCCUGCUGCACUCAUCGACGCCCAAACAUCCACGGCCGCCCGCGAGCGGUGUUUUACGCGGCCACCCGCACGAACCCUAGCCCUGCUCUCCUCCGUCGCGUCCGUGCUCCACCAGUAGAUCCACCCUUCUCGUGUACUCUCCUCUCCUGUUCCUUGCGAACCAUGGCCGGGCAUGGCAGCGGCGGCUUCGACGGCGACCAGGGUGCCUUCAACCGGAGCCACAACAGUGGAUCUGGGGCCGGCGGCGUGACGCGGGACUUCUGGGACUCCUCCGGUCCAAGCCCCUUCGGCUCAGGCGCUGGUUCAAGCUCGUACCCGAACCCGCACCUAGGGUUCGACGGCCUGGACAUCAACGCUGGCGAGGAAUGGGCGCCAGAAGACGUGGACGACUACGCCGAGCAUCUCCGCGGCAGCAGGGACCUCAUGCCGCCUCCCGUUCGAGCUCCGUCGGUCGGCGGUUCGCGGCGUCCGUUGUUCCACCCGCCUCGGCAAGCGCCAUCAACCGAGCCUUCACCCGACGACGGCUUCGGCGGCCGGCUGUCGCCUGACGGGGGCAGCAACCCCCGAUCUGCACGCACGCCAUCACGAGGCCGAGGACGCGGUCACCGCGCACACGCAUCGGCCGGGAAGGUACAAAACACCCUGCCCCAUCUUUCUAAAUGUUCCAUGUUGUAUACUAGUAGUAGUAGGAAACGCGCGGCCCUGCGCGCGAUCAGUAAAUGUUUGUUGAACUUUGCUUGAAAAUGAUGUACAUGUCCUGGGUGUGGAUAUACGUGUAGAUAUUUCUGUGCAUAUGAAAACAUCAUUAUUCACACAGAUUAGUAUACACGGUUUUCAUAGUCAAAAGCCGCAGGCCUGAGAGACUGUAUGAUGUCAGAUAUGAGGAAAUCCUCAAAGAUUGUAUGAUGGCAGCAUUGUAGUUAAUUACAAAAUAUGGGGGCUGCAGUACUUUCAGGCAAUGCUUUUGUUGUAUUGUGUUCCUUAACAAAGACGAAAGGACAAUCUUAACGGAAGAUCAUACAGAGAAUGAUUUAUUUUUGUUUACCUCCCAGUCUGAGAUGUGCAACCAUUUCAGAGUCUUAGAUUUGCAAUCAUCUUGCCAGUCAUGAGUUCUCUUGCUUAAGUUUAUCAUCAUGAGCAUUCCGGAUCAAGUCUUAGACCUGGAAAAAUAAAAGAGAGCAUGCAACAUUCUGCCUAAGAUAAAACUUAAGAUAGACCAUUCAUUAUAAAAUUCUAUAUAUAUUGUGUCGAGUUCAGGAUGACAUAUUAAUGAACCAAUAUUUUAAAUUCAGAGGAAUUACCCUUGGGACAAAAUUUCCCAUUUUAUCUCUUAGCUUCAAAUGCAAGAUAAAAACAAAAGCAAAUAGGUGACAUUAGUAGUUACCUGUUUUGUCACCUGUUUUUGUUGUGUUGCCUGACAUCCAUUUAUGUCCACCAAUAUUUGCGGUGUGUUGAAUUUUAUUAGUUAUCCCAUAUGUUUCUAAUGAAAUAGCAAAUGUAAGAAUUCAGCGACUAUCUACAAGUUGUGAGUUAGCACAAACUUUUGAUAAUUGAUAGGCGUCGCGUUUACAUUUGUAUAGGUGAAUAGGUUCCUUUUUCUCUUGCUGUAUUCAUGGCUGAGUGAACUGAUGCCACUGUGCAUGUCGAGUUGUACUAUAGGUUCCUUCAUUCAUGUUAUAUAAAAUUUCCCCCGAUCUGCACAGUGCAUGUUGAAUUUGCCGUCAUAGUCUUCUGCAAUUAUGACAUUACGUUAUUCAUGUUAUAUAUAAUUUGUGCUCUCGGUUAUCACGGUUUAGGUCCACAAGAGCAAAGCAAAUUGGACAACCGAUAACCUAACGAAGUACUGCGAAUGCUAUGUUCUAGAGAUGCACUAUGGGAAUUGCCCUGGAGGCCAAAUGAACAAAUUUGGGUGGAAGGGGUUGAGCAGUAGGUACUAUGCUGCCACAGGUUUGCUGCAUGAUAGGGAACAAUUGCAGGGCAAGCAGAGGACCCUUAAGAAGCUGUGGAGGUUCUGUAACCUUGCACGUACUCACACUGGAGUUAACAUAGAUGCUGACGGGUUCAUCCAGGCUACAGACAAGUGGUGGAACGACAACGCUACAGUAUGUGUGUCAUGGACUAUACAUUGGAAUUCACUUAUACAGCUCCAACAAUAUGUAACUGUUGCACUGCCUGCAGGAAUCCGAGUUCAUGAAGAUUAGGUCAACUGGACUGCCUCCGUACUUAGAUCAGCUUGAUCAGAUGUUUGCCGGGAACACAGUGGACGGCUCCUCAUCGUACGUUCCAGCUGCUGGUCCAACAACUGAAGUCCAAGAAGUUUCAUCUGAUGACGAAGGAGCAGAUGAGGAGGACACCCGUACCCCUAUGAGCCUUGGGACCAAAAGGACAGGAAGCACUAGCACAACUGCAACGAGCCCCAACAAGAAGACCAAGAACACAUACGCGAGGGUCAUGAACCAGCACAUGAACUCGCAUUUGGAGCUUGCUAGAGAGAGGCUGGAGGUUCACAAGAAUGCCCUUCAGAAAAAAGCACAUGACAAGGACGCCGCAAGGACAUCUGUGAACUGGAAAAUAGCUGAGUGCUCUAGGAUUGCUGAGCAUGAGCUUGGCAUUUCUCGAGACACGCCAGCCCUGUUGGAUGGACUCCUUGCUCUGGCAGAGAAUGAAGCACAGAUGGAUUUGUUCCUUUCGUCAAGUUAGACAGUGAGGAUACGAAUCAUCCAGAAGCUCGCCAGCAACCCUCCGCCGGUGGACCCCUAGAACACCUUCCUUCUAAUGCAUGUAGCAAUGGCGCAGUAGUUCCACUGACAGUAGUUGCACUGACAGUGUAGAACCUUUUGCUGGAGAUGAGGGCCAAUGCUUUUGGUUUAGGGUUGUAUGUUGUAGUGCGUACGUGUGUGUGGUUUUAUUUCUUUCUUUUCAAGAACUAUGAACUCUAUGUUGUCAUUUGUUUGGAAAGACCUUUGAAUGUACUAAUUUGUUUGAUCACCAAUCUUUGUUGCAUUAUGAAUUUGUAUGUGCUACUAUGCUACUUUUGGGCCAUUCUGGUAACCUUGAAUGUGUUGUACCAUGUGCUGACUAGUCUGUGCUGUAAUUGUGGCAGGCUAAGAUUUCUUGGUAUGAUGCACGAAGGGAGGAGUUGCUGCAGCAGUUGGAGAAGGAAGAAGAUGAGUUGCUGGAUGAGAUGAUGGAAGAUGCUGAGGAGGAUGAGUUCAUCUUUGGUAUGUACCAAUAUGCAAUGCACAUAGACAAGUACAUGUGUAGAGCUGACUAUAGAGUUCCUAAAAUGAGUGGCAUUGAAUGGGUUCAUGCUAAGACGGCCAGUGAGAAGUCAUGUUACAACAUGUUUAGAAUGACCCCUACAAUGUUCUUUACCUUGCAUGAGCUUUUAUGUGCUAAGUACGGUCUGAAAUCGACUACCAAGUCGACUUCUUUUGAGGCUCUAGGCAUGUUCUUGUGGAUGGUUGGGGCACCACAGUCUGUUAGGCAAGCUGAGGACAGAUUUGAGAGGUCUUUGGGGACUGUGUCAAAAAUGUUCAACAGAGUCUUGAAUAGCCUUGUGCAGCUAGCAGCAGACAUCAUUAAGCCAGUUGACCCAGAGUUUAGAACACUGCAUCCAAGGCUUACAAAUCCUAGGUUUUAUCCACAUUUCAAGGACUGCAUAGGGGCCAUAGAUGGAACUCAUGUCCAAUGUGUAGUGCCAAAUGACAUGUUUGUUCAGCACUUGUGCCGCAAGGGAAUCACUACACAAAAUGUCAUGGCUUGUUGUGACUUCGACAUGAGGUUCACCUUUGUGAAUGUUGGUUGGCCUGGAUCUGUUCAUGACAUGAGAGUGUUCAAUGACUCGACAACAACAUAUAGCGCUGUGUUCCCACAUCCACCUCAAGGUACUGACUAUUUCAUACACAUGACUGAUUCUAAUACUUGAUGACACUGUGCCUAACUGAUUGUCUGUUGAUGCAGGGAAAUACUAUCUCGUGGACUCGGCCUAUGCGAACAAGCAGGGGUACCUAGCUCCUUACAAAGGCAACAAGUACCAUCUGCAGGAGUUCCGUGACGGGUCCGAGCCACAAGGUAAAGAGGAAAUCUUCAAUUAUGCACACUCUAGCCUUAGAAAUGUUAUUGAGCGGGCAUUUGGAGUUUUGAAAAUGAAGUGGCGCAUGUUGCAAAAGAUCCCUCCAUACGCACCUCACAAGCAAUCCAAAAUAAUUGUUGCAUGUAUGGCCCUACAUAAUUUUAUGAGAAGCAAUGACAUAGCAGAUAAGCACUUCCAUAGGUGUGACAAUAAUGAGAACUAUGUGCCGCGACAAGCGUAUGAGAAUCAGCCACCUCCUGAGGUUGUCGAAGAUGGUCCAAACCCGAUGGCUGCAUUCCGUGAUUCGCUUGCUUAUGCUAUGGCAACUGGUUCGUAAAACUGUUGUGAUUGUUCACAUGUUUGUUUAUUUCAUUAUUGCGGUUUGUGAGUAUUUUUUUACGACAGUUUUGAAUUCAUGCGAGUAUCUGUGAAUGUUUGAGGACAUAUAUGAGCUGUGAUGUUUACUGUAACAUUGUUGAGCCCAUUAUGUGGUUGUAAUAGGAAAUAAAAGUUGUAAUAGGAUGAUCACAGUUUUUUUUAAUAAAGUGUGCAUGAACAUUGCCUGUGAUUUUGUCUAUGCUUCAAUCUAUGCUUGUUGUGCAUGUGCAUGGGGUUGCAUGGCAACCAUUUAAUGCAGCUGCAUGACUUGCAGUUUUGCAAAAUUUUUUGGUAAGUAAACAGGAAAACCAAAAUACAAAAUGUCAGUAUUUUGGUGUGCUGCACAUUCUGUUUGGGAUUUUACAAUUUUGCAAAAAAGUUCAGGAACUAAACAAGGCCUGACUUGGGCCGCCACUCCCUAAAUUCGCUAGGCCCAACGCCUCCCUCCAGUCUCUUCCCCGUCCAGUCCCUUGACCCAGCGUCGAUUUCAAAACCCGCGAAACCAAGCACGGCGUCACGAGUCACGACCGCACCAACCCCAGAGGCGGCAAAGGCGGUCUCUCUCGGGCCCGGGCACUAGCGGCGAUGUCGGCGGCGGCGAAGGCCAAGGCCAAGGCGAGCGGCGGCAAGCGGGCCGCGGCGUCGAAGGACCCCGCCGAGGCGCUCGUCUCAGACAAGAGGCGGCGGGAGCGCGGUGGCAUGGACGACUCCGACCACGAGUUCGACAGGUGCCUUGCCUUGCCUGCUCCUCCCCCCUCGCCUAUCGUGUUCGCUGCUUUGGAUUCGCCGCGGUCCGGGAGCGAGGCCGUUGGUUCGAAUCGGGGCGGCGAAGCGAGGGUUUUCGUUCCUAGUAACUGCGCCUCCGUUCCGUGACAAUUUUUUUGGGGGGAACUUUAGCGCUAUUGAUCGAUUCCUCUCUACACAUUUCAUGAUCCCGGGCGUGCUUUCAAUGUGAUUGGUGGAGGCAGUGACAUGAAGGAGAUCGUCACGCUGCUGAAGCAAAUCAAGGACAAGGCCCACAAGGACGGCCAGAAGAAGACCGAGCAGGCCAUUUCCAGGUGAUUACGGUCUCCAUCCCCGCGCAUCCACCUAGCAUUUUGGUACUAGUAGCGACUGUUCUGUCAGUGUACGUAAUACAGCAGUGUUUUACAUAAUACAGCGUUUUGGUCAGAUGUUUGUGUGUGCAACUGUUCUGUUUGCUCCAAUAGUCCAAUCCAAUCGAGGGAGAUUUGGUGUGGUUUGGUGCAUGGCAAGCAGCACAUCUGGUUAAAAUCUGCAGAUUUUACACAAAACGUCUGAUUGACAUCUGAUGUAGUACUCUACUAUGGAAGACAUGUGUUGGUGAUACUCGCUGUGUUGUGUCUGAUUUGUGCACUUCAGAUGGCUGUGCUUCAUACACAGUUUAGCAGGGCACCUCUCAUGGGUGUCAAGUUGUUUGCCAAUUCCUGGGUGCUUUAGUGAAUCACUGGUUGUUGUAGUUCACAACUAGAGAGUUUGUUGUCCCUUGGUCUCAUGCUAAAGGGAGCACUAUUACUGACUGAAGUGAAUCCACCUAUGGUGUCUGGCAAGUAGAUUGAGACUGGAGUUCAUGAACAAUGGCAUCAUGGAAUCUUAUGUCUGGAUGUUGUACUCGUUGCAGGGAGCUAUCUUGAGUACAUUGCUAACAAGUUUUGGUAUCUUUCAGCGUGGCAACAGAGAUUCAGACUAUGGUACAAGACACCAAGACUAGGCUUGAGAAGGAAAGGUGAGCAAAUAACUAAUCCAUAUCACCAGCCUUCCAGUGACUUCACUAGAGAAAUACAUUAGCUCCUGCAGCGAAAUCUGAUGUGCUCCUUUUUAGUUGUAGCUAGAACUGAAACAGGUUCUUGGUAAUAAAUACUGUGAACACCCUGAAUGGAAUGUGCCCCUGACAAUUGUUUUAUGUGCGUGCACAGGCAGAGUUUUCUGAAAGCAUUGUCAAAGACUUCAAAAGAGGUCUGGAAUUGUACUUGAUGCUUCAAUGUGCUUCUGGUUACUAAUCUGAUCAGAUUUUGGUUAAUGGAAGAUUCGUUUAUAUGUUAUGCAGUGCGAAGGUUUGUUGAAGAAUGAGUACACCAAAUUUCAAGCAACACAUGACAAGUUCUGCAAAGACAAAGCUGCACACAUACAGAAUUUCAAAGGUACGCCAGAUAAGAGCUAAGCUGACACCUAUUGUGAUAUGCUGACAUGCUGUAUUGUUAUCAUCUAGCAUAUCUUUAUCUAGCUCAUGUCAUGCUCGAGCAGGUCUGGUACCAUCCUUAGUUUGUUCAUCAUGAAUAUGACACAUUUAGAUCAUGACUCCAGAUAUUCUGUGUCCACAAUUGAGUUGUGCUGUUUGCCUAUUUUUUUAAUUAUAUGACCAGAGGAAUUCUAUAGGCAAGCUCACCUAAGGAAGCUCCAGUGUACGCAUAUGCUUAAUCUGCUAGCAGUUUUGCAGCUAGUAAAUGCAAUCAUAUAGCCUGUGUUGUACCUAUGCUGUCACACACUCACACUUUCCUAUAAUUCAUGAUUUAGAAGGGAUAAUAUGUUAAUGUGAAAUCACCCAUUGAGCACUGUGCUGUGCCUAUAUUGCCUCACUUUCCUCUUCACUGAGGUAGUUGUUGUCAUCAGUUAUCAUCAUUUUUAAUUGACCUAUCUAUGUACUGUUUUCUGCAGACCUGUUCUCAAAGUUUGAAGAUGAUAAAGAGAAAUUGCUUGUGCAGUAUGAACUGCAGAGUAAGUAGUAGAUGGCUAGUUCCUUCAGUUGUGUUUAUGAGUUUGCUGCUUUGACAUGCUGCCUUUUAACAGGGAAGAAGGAGAAGGCUACUCUAUCUGAACUUGAGAAAACAUUUUCAGAGAAGAUAGCAAAUGCAGAAGAAUCCCUGAAGAAGAUGAAGCAGGUAAAUGUCACAACAUGCAUGAUUUUCACAUUGCUGAUCUCAUCACCAUGCAUCGUUACUGUGACUAAACUUUGCAUGGUUUAUUAACCAUAAUAAUCAGUUCACUAAUUAUGCAUUCAUGCUUGACAGGACGACAAAUCAAUCCACAUCCUUCGCAAGUCCAUUGGCUCAUUUCUGAGUGGCGACCCAGAUGAUCAGUCUGGUCAAGAUGAUGACUGAAGCUGCUGUCACCAAAUGGUUUCUAGUUUGAGAUCUAUGUGGAUAAUAUGUUAUUGGAGAAUAUAUAUCAUCAGUGCAUAGGGGAGGCAAAGAUACAUAUAGGGAGUUGAUAGUUUGUGACUGCACAACUCGUGUGCUUAGUUUUCAUUGGCUCGGGCUGUGAUGUUAUGGAGAAUGAUUGCAUUAUUAAUUUGGUGGAUUUUAGUACUCUACAGCAAGAGGUUUAGAUUGUGCUAGGUUGGAAAGGCAUUAUCUAGUUGCACCAUUGCAAGUGCUAUACUUGGCCGGGACGCUUUACAAUUUGGUCAGCAUCUGCUCUCCUCAUGCCACAGCCCACUGCAAACCAAGUUCUCCUUUAUCAAUAUUCAGUAAUAAAAUAUAUACGAAAAUUUGCAAAUUCACUAAAGCAUACAUGUCAUUGCAAAUUCAUAUGUUUUUGAAGGAAUGCAAAAGCAAAAGAACAGGAGAUUUACACACACAUACUUCACCGGCAAAACAAAAAAAAAAGGUUGAGAUCGUCGUCAAUCCACGUGUCUUGAAGUUGUGGUGGUAGCAUCUCCUGUAUCAAUAUUCAGUAAAACAUAUACAGUAUACAUGUCAUUGCAAAUUCACAUGUUUUUGAAGGAAUGCAGAAGCAAAAGAACAUGAUAUUUACACACACAUACUUCACCGGGAAAUAAGAAAAGGUUGAGAUCGUUGUCAAUUGUCAAUUCCACAUGUCUUGAAGUGGUUGCAUCUCCUGUACUGUGGCUUGCAAGCAACCGGUUGUUCAGUUCAGGCACACGUUGCGAUAGAGGCAGCGGCCUGUUCGUCGGGUCCAUGCACGUCGACCAUGGCUGCCUUGGAGCACGCCUUGCACUGGAGGCACCACCGGCCGACGCACACCAUGGACGUGUACCGCUCUCCGCACCCGGGGCACUUGGCGGGGCACUGGAACACCUGCCGCCCCGGCGCGGCCGGAGGCUUCUUUUCCGUCGGCGGCUUCGUCUGCCACGGCGUGUUGAGCCACGCGGGGCAGCGGGCGCACCUCAUGCCUUCCCGCCGCUCCCGGCGCCCGACCAUGCCGCGGAACUCGUUCUUGCAGGAGGGGCAGUAGAUGAGGAUGGGCUCGCGCGGCUCCUGCACCGGCGGCUGCAUCAUCAUCAGCACCGUCACCUUCGGCCGCGGAGGCCGGCCGGGCUGGGCAGCGGCGGCCGCCGGAGGCGGGGGAGUGCUCGUGUCCCGGUCCGCCGGUCUGGAGCGGGAGGGGGCGGGCCGCGGUGGCGAGAGGGCUUCAUCGUGUGCCUCCCGCAGAAGCCUGAAGGCGCUCUCGGCGGCGGCGCAGUGGGUCUUGUCCGGGUGCACGAGGAGCGACAGCCGCCGGAACUGCUUCUUGACGGCGUCCUGCGUGGCGGCGUCGGCGCCGGGGCCUAUGCUGAGGAUCGCGCGCCAGCCGCCGGCGCCGCCGUCCGCGGUGGCGUUGGCGUGGACCUUGUAUGCCGCGAUCGCGUUGUCCACGUCCGGGAGCGACGGGCAGAGCCGCUUCGCGUUCUCGGCCAUUUUGUGCGCGUCGACGAUUUUGCCGGCGAGGAAGAGCUCCUCCUUUCUUCCUCGCGUUACACACCGCCAUGUGGGAGUCUGCUGGAUUGGAUUGGAUUGGUCUGGAGAUGGACGCAGCCUGCUUUGUGCAUGGCCAGGGAAAUAUAUAGCUGCCUGUUCAUCAGUUGGACUCCGAUUGGAGUCGGCGUUUUCGUCUCCGCGCGCCGCGCGUUCCAGUCGGAGUCGAGUCCGAAUUGCCCUGGAAACACUGGGCUCCGCUCCGGAAUCGCCGCGGUCUAUCGUACUAGCCUUUUGUCUUUGUCAUUAUAUAAUUCAAAAUUAUUUUUACGUGAGGAAGCUAAUGAAUGUUUUUAGCAAAUUUGAUCAAAACUAUGAAUGUUUAACUCGGUACUUUUAUAUUGUAAUUUUUUCGGACCGGAGUGUGUUUUUGUCAUCUGAUGGAGUAGGUUACGAGCAACUAAAGUAAUAAUAAUAGUAUCAGUUUGUAUGUAAUGUGCCAAUACUUUUACGGUGUAACUGGUUAGCACAACACGCUAAAGAAGCGGUUGACUGAUUUUUGUUUGUAUGUAAUGUGACACCUUUUCAAUUUUCUUUUCUCAUCGCAUACUCUCACUGCCUUGGAGAAAGUGUACAUGUAGAUUCCCCUCCUCCCCCCUCCUAAGAGCCUAUUAUUUGCCUUUUUUUUCUUGCUUGUAUAUUAGGCCAGUUUUAGCCUAAUAUAUAAUCCCUCGAUUUUCACUUUUUUAACCAAUCCCUCGAUUCCAAAUUAUAUAUACAUCACUUUAAUUUAUAAUUCAAAUAUAUAACACUUCUACCAACUUUUCUUAUUAGAAAAUAUAUCAACAUCUACAAGUUUAUAUAUAUGCACUAUCAAACCUAUUUUAUGAAGGAUUGAGUGCAACUGAUUUGAAGGUCUAGGUAUUGCUAAGUUUCUUUAUAAGCUUGGUCAAAACUACAUAAGAUUGACUUAGGACACAACAAAGUGAACUAUGAUUCAGGAUGAAUAUAGGUAGAUGGCAUUCAACUCUACCUCUAGGAUAGAAUUAGUGUUAUUAUUAAGCCAUCCAAAUUCGUCACCAUUGGCACGAAGCAUUGAAUUAUUUUAUUUUAAAAAAAAAUACAUUAGUGUUAGCUACUUAGCUUCAUAUUACUCCCUCCAAUAAUACAAAUAAGGAAUUAAUAAAUACUAGCAAAAGUACCCGCGUGUUGCAACUGGAGAAGUCAUGGAGAGUUUUGAUAUCUAUAUUGUUUUGUCUUGAAAGCUAUUGUUUUUAUUGCACCCGAAGCUAUGCUCACACACGCACACGCACACCGCACCCAUGCACACACGCCCGCACGCGCGCGCACACACACCGCACACGUUUUCUCUUCCACUUUCAAUUAUAGCAUCAAAAAAUCAACAAAUAUAACUCCAAUAAAUUUACAUAGUGUACAAAAUUUCAUCAUACAAUUUUGUUAAUUAAUGUGGAAACAUAAUACCCUCCUUUUUUACUUUACUUUUUUUCUUUUUCUCAUCCUUAUCUGCUAGAUCAAACUCGAGUGGCCUCAUUCACUCGCACCCUGUGGCUUCCCACUUUGGCUAACUGAAGCCUUGCAAAUGCGACCAUGAAGCCCUAAUGGUUUGACGGUCAUGGCACCAUGGCGCCCAUGGGGUCGCGACGUGAGCAUGCUCUGGUACUUCCAUGCUUUGCCAUUCUGACAGCCUGUCGAGUCUAUGAGACAGAGCCCCGAUAGUUGCACACGCCAACAACUGCACAGCCUCGCCCGCGUCACCGUCUUCUAUCUCCUCGACCUCACCUUGUGUCGUUACUGUCGCACAUCCUCGCCUCGGUCUCACUCACACGCUGUCUCAUCAAGUUUUGCCCGACCUCGACAUGGUCUCCAAGCCUUGUGCCAUCGUCGUUUCGGCCACGACAUAUUUUCGUGCCACCUUGUUUGACUUGAUAGGGUGUCGUUCUUAUAUAUAGUUUAAUCGGUUGUUAAACACUUUUGGGGUCAGGGUGCCUGGGGGCACGAGGCUGUGGUCGCCAAUCGCGUCGGUCGCUAGCUAUGGGCGCGCGGCCAUCGGGGGACGUGCUCAGCUCCGAGUCAUGUACGUCGGCGAGUGCGCCUCUGAAGUGGGGCUAGAGGUGGAAGGCUGCAACUCCCUCCAAAAUGACCAAAGCCCUUGGCCCAUCGCUGAGGGGGCGGGGCCACCUAGGGGCGUGGGGUUGUGGGCGCUAGUUGUGUCGGUCGUCGGGGGUGCGCUCGGCUCGGAGCCACGUAUGGCGGCAUCCUCGGUCGCCGGAGGCGCGUUCGGCUCCGAGUCACGUACGCACAGGUUAUGUCUGCCGGGCGCAGCGUCCGCUAGGGGCAUGGGGUUGCGGCCCCCGGUUGCGUUGGGCACCAGGGGCAUGUGGCCGCGGGGGGGGGGGGGCAUGUGUCCACAGAGGGGUGCAAGGCUGCCUCCGCCAGACACGCCGGCCACUGGGAGGGCAAGGGGCACCCGUCGAGAUGUGUGGGGUUGUGUCCGCCGGACGCCGAGGGGCCGGGGCCGCUGAGGGGCGCGCGGAUGCAGCCGCCAAGAGGUGCGUUGCUGUAGCUGCCGAUCAUGCGGCCACCGGGGUGCGCGGGGUCGUCUCCGUUGGGCACGGCGGCCGCGAAGACAGUUUUUUUUUUGCCCUUAAGGCAUAUGGUCUCACUCUCCUAUCCAUUGAAUUCACAUUGAAAAAUGUACAACACACAUUCCAAUACAGUUUUACACUGAGAUAUAUGGCGGCCGCCCUCUGUGCUCUACGCUAGCAGCACCAAAUGAGUAGGACAAGUGACCCUACACCUAGUCCAAUCCCAAGUAGUAUCCCUACGAGCUCCCACCAAUGACCGGUGUCCAUCAUGAUCGGGUUCCUGCCACCUCUUCCUCGACGUAUCCUCUCUCACAGUACUGGGCUUUGUGAGGCCCUGUUUAGUUACUCCCCAAAUUUUUUUCAUCCAUCCCAUCGAAUCUUUGGACAAAUACAUGAAACAUUAAAUGUAGAUAAAAAAAUAAACUAAUUACACAGUUUGGUUGAAAAUCGCGAGACGAAUUUUUAAGCCUAAUUACUCCAUGAUUAGCCUUAAGUGCUACAGUAACCCACAUAUGCUAAUGAUAGAUUAAUUAUACUUAAUAGAUUUGUCUUGCAGUUUAAUUUGUUUUUUUAUUAGUUUCUAAAAACCCUUCUCGACAUCCUUCCGACACAUCCGAUGUGACAACCAAAAUUUUUUUCUCCACCAUCUAAACAGGGCCUUAGUUUAUAAAAUUUUUCAUAUUUCUUAUCGCAUCGAAUCUUACGGCAAAUGUAUGCAACAUUAAAUAUAGAUAAAAAAAUAAAUAAUUACAUAAUUUAUCUAUAAUUUACGAGGCGAAUCUUUUGAGCCUACUGAGACUGUAUACUUUUGUUUUCGUCUAUAUUUAAUGCUUCAUGCAUGUGUCACAAGAUUUGAUGUGAUAAGAAAUCUUAAAUUUUUUUUGGUUUUUGGGUGAACUAAACAAGGCCUAAGGAUGCCUUGGUUCUUUGUGAAGCUCUGUAAAGAGUAUCAAACAUUGAGGUUCUAUUUGGUUUCCCUUAUAUCAGUUCCUGUUUUUUUUCCUCUGAAAUUAUUAUUAAAAAUUAAUACUCCUGGUUUUUUUAGGCCUUGUAGUUCCCAAAAAAUUUUGCAAAAUUUUUCAUAUUUCCCGUCACAUCAAAUCUUUAGACACAUGCAUGAAGUAUUAAAUAUAGACAAAAAUAAAAACUAAUUGCACAGUUUGGUCGGAAUUGACGAGACGAAUCUUUUGAGCCUAGUUAGUCCAUGAUUGGACAAUAUUUGUCAAAUACAAACGAAAGUGCUACAGUAUCGUUUUUUCAAAAAAUUUUGGAACUAAACAAGGCCUUACUUGUCUGGAAACUUUUGCUAUACAUAUUAGGAAUAUAUACUCUUUAUUUCUGAACGUCCAUUCUAAAUGUUUAGUUUUUUCUCUCUUUAACUUUGGGUGCUAACCUUGCCUGUUCUGGUACUUGUUUCAGCGGAUUGUGUUUCCAGGAGCAGCUGGAGCAUACAGAGUUUCGCAGCUUCUCGUUGUGGGGUUUGCAGCUCCGUGGACAGAUGACCUGUUUCAGUACCAACGACAUCCCAUCAUCUCUUUGGGGGAUCGACGAAACAUGAGUAGAAAAAAAAAAAGCAACUCACAAUUGUCAUAGAAGCCAGGUGUCCUGCUCAACCAAGUUCUCCCCAGGAUCAACACUGACGAGUAAUGUGAGAGACUCGAGCAGUGGCGGAGCCAGAAUUUUAAACUUGGGUAUUCCUACUUUCACAAAGUUAAUUUAUAGGUUGAAAAUAUAGUCAAUUAUACUGCAAGUUAGCAACUUUAAACUAAUAUUUGCUUUCUAGAAUAUAGACUUCUAAUUGAAAUGCUAGUUUUUUUACAUGUUUUGAGCUCAAAUGUGCAAAAUACUAUAUAUUAUAGCAUUAUACAUUUAUAUAUAUAAGUGUAUACACAUAUUUACGUAGAAGUGUACCAAAAUAGUUGGGUAUUCCUGUGAAUACCGGGGAAUACCCCUAGAUCCGCCACUGGACUCGAGACAAGUAAGCAGAAGAUCACAUUAUUUAACGACUUACAAUCUCAACCAUGGCACUUCACGAUUUGCACAUGCUUCCUUGAAUUUUUAAGAACAAACAAGCAAAUCAGUGAUUCAGUGGCAUGCUUGUAUUGUAGCAGCAAGCAAUAUAAUGCAUCAUAGUCGCAAACAAACCUUCACCAUCCCACAAAGUCUUGGUCCAAGAAAAGCUUUUCAUGCAGUUGCAAAUUAAAGGAUGAUGCAUGAUAGAGUCGACGUCGUCGUUCGUCUAGCCGGCGGCGGCGCCACACCUGCAAGAGACACACACAUGCACAGUCCCGUACGUAUUCUUUGCAAUGCAACAAGGAGGAGAGGCUUCAGAAAGCGAUGGCCCGGUGGCGGUCGUACACGGCCUUGAGUUCCGAACAAAUUUCGGAUUUCGCAACUGUAAUACUUUCGUUUUUAUUUGACAAAUAUUAUUUAAUUAUGAACUAACUAUGAUCAAAAGAUUCGUCUCGCGAUUUACAGACAAACUGUGUAAUUAGUUUUUAUUUUCAUCUAUAUUUAAUGCUUCAUGCAUGGGCCGCAAGAUUUGAUGCGACCUAGAAUCUUAAAAUUUUUUUGGAUUUCCGGGCUAAACAAGGCCGUAGACGAAGACGUCGUAGGAGCAGGCCUGGCACCUGAGCUUGCACAACCCACGGGACACCAGCGACGAGAAGGUCGUUUUGCACCGGGAGCACUCGGUGCGGCACGUGAACUUCACCCGAUCGUCAUCGUCACGUUGCCGCCGCGGCGGUGGCUCGGCGGCGCUGCCUGCCGGGGGCGGGUCUGAGGCACCCUCCGCCUGGCUCUCCCGCGGCGGCGGCGGCGGCGGAUUGAAGGCAGUGCCGCACGAAUGGCACCUGCCGCCGGGCGUGCCGUGGCGGCCGCCUCCCGCGGCGGGCUCCGAGCUGCAGUGCCCGCAGUAGGCGGUGCCCUUUUCGCGGGCGUAGCUCGACCGCCACGCGCUGAAGUUGGCCGAGGAUGCCGACGAGAAGGGCGGCGGCGGCGGCGUGUAGCCGUACGACGACCAGGUGCGCUCGGGCGGCGGCUUGUAGCGGAAGUGCGACGACCACCAGUCGCGGCCGGGCGCUCUGGGCGGCGGCGAGCUGCCGAAGAACGAGGACCACCAGUCAGGGUCUGGCGCUCCGGCCGGCGGCGAGCUGCCGAAGAACGAGGACCACCAGUCAGGGUCUGGCGCUCCGGCCGGCGGCGGCCUGGGCUUGGCGCCGGUGCCGAGGCCGGGAUCGGGGACGGUUCCUGGAGGGUGGCGAGCGGAGAGCACCUCCCACGCCCGCUGGAGCAGCUUGAACGCGCCGUCGGCGGCCGCCGAGCGGUUCUUGUCCGGGUGCAGGACGAGGCAGAGGCGCCUGUACCGCUUCUUGAUGGCGUCGUGGUCGUGCGCGACCGUCUCCGGCUGGCCGACGCUGAGAACCGCGUACCAGCAGUUCCUCUCGCCGCGGGCGGCGGCGUGGACCUCGUAUGCGGCGAGGGCGCUCUGCAGGGCAGGGAGCGACGCCAAGUGCCUCUUGGCGUUCCGGGACACGCGGAGCGCGCCGUCUAGAUCGCCGGCGAGGAAGCGCUCCUCCGCGUAUCUGAAGGCUUUCUCCGCCUUCUCCGUGCCGGUCGCCAUGAGAGAGUCAGAGCCGGCGACCGAUGGGACUCGGCGUCGACGAAACGAGAUAUAUCGGGCAAAAGGCGCGGCCAGUCCGACUCGAACUUGCGUGAUCGCAAUCUACGCGGAGGCAGCCCAAGUCGGCGCUUUCAUGAUGAGUCGAUGAGCUACCGUCUCGGACUGGCGCAAUAUUGUUUGGUUAAGCACGUUGAAGUUUAAUAAAUAUUGUAUUAGUAAUUUCUAGGCCAAACAUUUAUCUCCAAAAGAAUCGAUUUCUGUAGAUAAACGGUCCACCGAUCCAUAUUUAGUCUCUCUCGUAAUCUGAUCCAUCAGUACGCAAGAUAUAGAAAGAACAUUAUCCCUAAAUUGCAUGUUGGAGACCAGGCUAUCACUCACAAAGCAUGAGGAUAAGGCUGUUUUUAUGACAAUCUCAUCGCGACUGAGUGUGCUAGAGAGAGUACUGUUAAUCUAGACACCCUUGGCCAGUCCCAGCUUUGAUCUUGAAGCUUUAGGGUUUGUUUGGCACAGCUCAACUUCACUAGUAAAGUUGUUUUUUUAGAAAAUAGCUUCAUGAGUGACUUUCUAGAUGAAGCUGAGCUGUUUUGGAGAAAGUGUUUGGCAAAAUAGCUUCACCAACUACUUCAUGCAUAGUUAAGAGAGAGAAAUGAGAGAGAAGCUGCAAUAAGCUACUUUUUUUCCAGCUUCAUCCAACUUAUGUCUUUGUGAGAGAAGGAAAAAAAUAGCUUCACCCAUAAAGUUGUUUUGGAAAUAAGUGUUUGCCAAAAAAAACAGCUCACAACAGCUCAUGAAGCUGUUGUGAGCUGUACCAAACAGGCCCUUAGAGUUGCCUUUUUCUGAGGAAUUAGGCCUUGUUUGGAUGUAGUCGGAUUCGCAUCAAUCCACAUGUAUUGGGUGGAUUAGAGUGAAACUUGAACUAAAUUCCACCCCAAUUCACUCCAACACAUGUGGAUUGAGGUGAAUCCGACAACAUCCAAACAAGACCUUAAGGAGAUGCCACCUGAUAAGGCUAUAAUAUUACUUAUGUGAAUUUGCUUUGAUAUUUCAACACAAAAGUAAUUUUGUCUCAAAUUCUGUGAUUGCUCCUCAUCACAUUUAAAGAGUCAUACAACUCAGUAUGGUAUGGGUAUCCUCUUGAUUCCCAGUACGUAACGCUUCGGCUUCGGUUUUCACAGAUACACCACCAACACAUCCUCACAUUUUACCGAAGCACAUCGAUGGUAAAACAAACGCAGGAAUUGCACCGACGGCAACAGUUUAUUAUUAGGAUCAGAAAUUUGUCCGACGGCAACAGUUUAUUAGGACCUCCCAUAUGAGAGGAGCAGGUUAUUAGAGUUAGGUUUGGGCUCUGACCCUACCGCCACCUCAUUUCUUCAUUGCAGUUCUCCAACAGGUGCUUCGUUGAGCCACAGGAAAUGGAUGAAGUCAUACAGCUUAGUACUCACGCUUACCUGUUCAGGUACAACGAUGCAUGAUAAAAUAUGAGCUCGAUCAAAUUGUCUUAGCUUGUGACAUUAAUAGCAUCCAGAUCAAGAGUAAGAUUAGACUACCUUGUAAGGUGUUGGGUUCAGCCGCCUCAUAUGGUCUGGUCUCAUUCGGUCCAGAUGGUGAAUACACCGAGUCCUAAUCUCAUGGAUGGAUGGAAGCACCUCCCGUGGAUUCGCUUCACCAAUUAAUAACACAACACAUGUUGACAUCAAUGGCUCGCAGCUUAAAUACUUGAACAAUUUUAUUAUCCAUCUAACAAUUUGAACUAAACCAGGACACACAUUUAACUGAUGAAAGUGAUAAUUCCUACAGCUCUUGCGAUAUGGCUGUUAUGAUAGCAGCGCAUAAUCCCUAUUGCCAGAAACCUUAUUCUAUAUUUGGCUCUGGUGAUUAGCAUCAUACGUGCAGUAACAAUAAGUUAUAUUAGGUAAUGCCAAUACUAGCAGCACAUCAUAGUCUAUGUGUAUUGUAAAUAUGUUUCAUGAAAGACAACUAGCAUGGUCAAUGGAACAUGCAUGCACAAGCCACAAGGGGCAAAUAAGGUUACAAACACUAUGCAGAAGUAACUCAGGUGGGAGUUCAUACAUGAAGUUCCAGGCCAGUAGCACCUCAAUAAUUCCUCAACAUGCUGCGGAACAACAUAUGCUCUCUUUGAUUCAUUGAAAGGGUGCCGACACAGGAGCCUUUCACCAAUCUAUAAACAAAUGGUAAAUCAUAAAACCCACCAGCUGUUUCAGAUUUCGUAAAAAAGUAACUAUGGCAUACAAAAUCACAACUGAAAGAAAGAACAUGUAGGUGCCAUGUAGCCUAGAACUUUGAAGUGAUUUUUUUAUGCAAGCUCACCGUUUGUAUUUUUAAGCAUUAACAUGGAUAUUGUUUACCUUUGGACCUGGCUCAUCUUCUCCAGUCAUUAUAUCAACCAAUGGAUAUCCUUCUUUGCCAUACAAUCUGUAGCAUUUUUUCUUACAUGGUAUCGAUACCUGGAGCAGACAACUAAGUUCUCGGUCUGUUUGGAUGCAUAGAAGAUAGCUAACUUGUUUCUGCUAUGAAGUAAUAAGCAUACAUACCUUUGAGACAUCUUCAGAAAGCUUAAUGCGAGGCUGUUUGUUAAUCUCAACUAAUUUGAAUACACAACCAAGUGCAGCUUGUGCAUAGCAUGUAACUAGGUUGGUGCCAAUACCAAAUGCAUCUACCUCAUGGCCCUACACAAAAAUAUGACAAUAAUCAUGCAUAGAUUGUAGUGACAUGAUAAAUGUAAUUAAUGCGAGCACACAUGUAUUUAUCACGGCCUUGUACAUUUUAACCUGCUUGCACAGCCAUGUGUUGUGUUGAAUUCAUCAUAACAAAGAAUUAAACAGAGAUUCCCACUAGCCAGUUAACUGCUACCAGGUAUUUAGCACAAAUAAUUCAUUUAAUAAUAUCUGAUCAUUGGAUCACACAUAUCAUUAGCACAAAUUUACACAUGUCAGAAAUUACAAUAUACAUAAUUUCUAAACCUGUUCUACAAGAGAGAUUUCUACAUGCUACAAUGUCAACCAUUUUGGAUGGUACUAUACGGAUUACCUGCUUGUUCAGGGCAUCUAUAGUUUCUUCAUUAAGGUCAUUGCUUGCUGUGAUUCUUGUUUUCUCAAAACCAACAACUCCAAAUUCUUUUUCAAUUGCACGGAAGAACUUGCGGGUCUCAAUGGACAGGUAUGCUAAAUCACCAGAGUCCAACCUAAUUCCGACUGCCUUAUACCUGCAAUGAAAACUUCUGUAAGUACCAGUGGCAAAUGCUUAUCACUGAUGUUUUCUUUGGAACACUUAACAAUCACUAAUAGAUCAAUGAAGUAUCUGUGACGUCACAUACUUCUGCUCAAAUUGCAUAUUUGACAAUACUAACUCGAAUUUGCCAUUUAUAAAAGCAUGAAUUGUAAAUAUGAAACUGGUCAGCUCCAUCAUGCUGUGGCAUGACAAAGUUGCCCCUAUCCGCAUGUCUGUCCUCUGCUUGGUGUCUGCUCCAUCUGACAAUAUCAAUAGUCAGCCGGGCCCCCUAAGCUCUUGACGGCCCAUGGCCAAUUCCUGUGCUUGAGACCUCCCACCCACCAACAGCCUCUCUGGCUCCUGCUGAGCUUGUAUGCCAUGGCAUUGUUGUAUGCCACCCACUGCACAGUUUCAUACUUACGGACAAACACAGCCGAGAUCGAAACCAAUGAAGACGAACUGCUCUACAGAUCUACCCUAGGAGCAAGCUAACUGAUGCACAAAGGGAGCAAUUGGGAUGAACAAAGCCAUGGCUUGAGCAAACCAAACAGGAACUUGAGUCACACAAGACAAUAAACCCGACAGUGGUGGCUUGUGAGCUCAUAGUGUAGUGCUGCACUUGGUGCGGACAGGGAACAGGAUCCCAACAGCGGUGCUUCAAGACCAUAAAAAAACUUGAGUAAAAUUCACUUGUCAAAUCUUGAGUUAUAGCAAGUUGCUAAUUUAUUUAGCAAAAGAAAAAAGGAUGUGUCUCCAAUAAGUUGCUAUUCUCACUUGGUAAAAAUAGAGGAUGACAGAUGGGACCCGCUCACUUGGUAGAAGAAUAUGUGUCUCCAACAAGUUGCGUUCGGGAUAGCAACUUGGGAUAGCAACUUGACAAAUCUCGGCAGUAGAAACCUCUGAUAGCAACUUGGGAAAUUUAGCAAGUUGAGAUAAGGAGUUGUUGGAGGAGGAUUUUUAUGCUUUUAGCAAAUUUGGUAGGAUAGCAUGUUGAAAUAACAAGUUGUUGGAGAUGCUCUAAAACCGAAUAUAAUGGAAGGUGCUCCCGUUGAAUUAUUGAAAGGCAACCCGUUUUGGAGGUUGGAAGGUCAGGAUGUGUAGAAGACAUCCAGGGGGCAUCAUAAAAUGGAGGCCAGCAGAAGAGCUCAUUGACUACGUUGAUAACUGGCACAUAAGUUCAGAUAGCUCAGGUCUGUGUGGUUGGGAGGCCUAGCUCAGGUGGAUUGGUGGCUAGGAACAGGGAGCUGCAGAAGGUUCAAUGGCUUGUAGAGGACAGCGACGAUGUGUGGUAGCAGCCAUGCAUGGUGGGAUGAGAGGGGCAGAGGUUGGGGGUACUUGGGUCAUUUGAACAGUGUCAAGUGAAUUGGGCAAUCCAGUUGCAGUUCACGCCUUGCCGAUAGACCGGGACUUCCAAUUGUAAAUUGGGUAAUUGGGUUACUUGAGCAGUGUCAAGUGAAUUGGGCAAUCCAGUGGCAGUUCACACUUUGCCGAUAGACCGGGACUUCCAAUCAUAAAUUUAUAAUUUGAGUUUUUAUAGCGGCAGAUCGAAUUUUUAGUCAGACUUAUCAAGUACAAUAAAUAAUUUUUAGAAUCAUUUGUUACUGAAAUAUAUAUAAAAAAUAGACCAACCUAGGAGGAACAAGGUGGCAUUUUAUUAAUAUUAAGAAGGAAAUGGCACCCAAAUUAGCCUUUUUAGACGAGGACUUGAACCUAAGUGGUCUGGGUAUACAUCCACACCCUCAACCAACCGAGCUAGCUCAACUUCCUUGUUGCUGAAAUAUCAAAGCAACUAAUACUCACAUGCAAACCUGGAGUCUCCUAAUACACAUGAGAUGCAUUUCUAGAGUAACCAAAAAAAUGCACUUAGGGUAGCAGAUUCGUAAAGCAAAGAGCCAAGAGAGCAAGUGCUGGUGUUGGUUCUUAUGCCCAAAAUGCUUGUUAGGGAGAAAAAAUCUUGCUAAUUAGUGUUACAUAUCAGUAUAUCACAAUAAAAGUCCCUGAUUAUUCCUAAAUAUUCAUGCCAUCACUUCUAGGUAAGUUAGGCAACAAUGAACCUCAAAACUGGAGCUUGAGUAAAAUGGAAGGGCUAAUGAAAAGACAAGUUUAUGAAAGUGCAAUUGAACUUUAUAAAGGAGGCAACCACAAAGUUUUACUUGUGCUCGUUGAGAAAAGGAAAACCAAGAGUAUUAAGGAGACGAGCUCAGACAAAAUUACCCCAUAUCAUUGAGGGCCAAAGCAACAGCACAGAAGUUUGGCACUCCACUUCUCAUGACCUAGCAGUGGCAUGGAUUAAAAUAUCAGAUAUGCUCAGAUAGAAGUUGAUGUGCUAAUUCUAUCAAGGUCAUCCCUAAACAUUCACUAUCUCAUGAGUAAUCCACUAUCUCUAGUAAUCCUAAGCUGGAUAUAAAUAAUAAUAACUAGCAGGUCAGAAUAUAUGCACUAUGCAGGUUAGAUGCCCAUAAUAUAUCCAUCAGAGACUAAGAAAGCAAAUGAAAAUGCCUUGGUUUUGGUUGCAGGAUAUCGGGAACUGAGCCUAGCUUAGUUGUAUACCCCCCCCCCCCCCCCCCCCCCAAUAGCCAGUUUCAAGUUCUCUUCAACUUGAAUUUGGGUGCCUUUUUUUAUUAACAAUUUCACAGCUCCUCCUAGGUUGGUCGAGCUUCCUUUUUUGGUUUUUUUCUACCUUUUGAUAUUUUUUUUCUCGAACUAUGCAGGAGAGCUGCAUGUCAUUUCAAGAAUCAUUAUGGUGUCUGCAAUGUUUAUCCAGCCCAGGGGAAAAAGCAUUAAACAGAAGAAACAUUAUUUUGCACAUGCCACAGAAAACAUAAAGACACAAUUGCUGACAAAGAUCAACUUACAUCAUAUGUGUCAACCAAGGCCAGGAAGGAAUUUGGAAAUGCCAGUGCAUAUGACGUGAAUGCAGCCAACUCACUUUGGCUCGUUUCUCCAAAGGUACCAUGCAAUGAACUAGAUUCCUGAGAAUAACAAAUUAUAGAUCUUGACUAGAAAAGUUGAAAACAAAUUACUAAGUACCAGGAGUUUUGUAACUUGCAAGAAGAAAAGGAAUAAGUGCACAUGAAAUAUCUAAUUCAGCAUCCUUUUCCAAAGCUGAGUAGGUAAUAAUUAAUCUGUAACAUGAGCAGCACCUGAAUCCUGAUCAGCCAAUUCUGCACCAGAGAGACAAAGUCUUCACAUUUCUUUGAACCAUCAGAACUAGUAAGUGCUUUGUUGGUAAUUUCAUCAAGACCCUGCAAAACGAUACUAAGUUAGAGCAGAAGUCCACUGGGAAUGAUCAGAAUAGAUUUAGCUCUCAUCCAGAACAAAAAUAUGAAUCACAUAGUUGCAAAGUUCAUAGCGUAAUAUCUCAUUGCCCACUUUAGCAUUUGAUCCCUGAGUGCACCUUCAGACCUUCUACAUUUACAUCACGGACAAAUUUCAAAAUAUCCAAUCCUGAAACGUCUUUGUUGGGUGAACACUAUGCAUGCUAGACUUAACAGGAAAACCUCAAAAUGUACAAGACAAGAUCCCUAUCUUCAUUAUAUACUUCACCCAUCACCCCACAUUAUUAUCUGAUUGAAUAUUAGGGGGUAGCAGUGGCACCUGACAAACCAUCUGGGUUAUCAAAUGCAAUCCAACUAGAAAUUGUUUUGCUAAAUAUGCAAACUAACAGAUUCAUCAUUUCUCAAGCUAUGAAAUAGUAGUUUAAUCCUAUAAUUGUGCAAACGAGAAACAGAGGAACUAUGGAACAAAGCAUGCUUGCACUAUCUGAACCUGAUAAACAAGUAUGUACAUUACUAAACAUUGGAUCUAACUACAAAGAAAAGAACAGUUGGAAUACGACUAAUGUUCAAUGUUUCUCAGAAAACUCCCAAAAAUGACAGUAAAUUUAAUCAUUCACAAAGCAAGAUUGGAAUACCAAGAAGUCACCACUAACCAUGAAGGAGCUCACAAAUGCAUGUGAAUGAGUCCCACGUAUUGGUAUCCCAAACAAUCUUCCUGCUGCAACAUUGCUGUUCAGGUAGAUAUCAUAUAUUAUGAUGGUGAAAUCAGACUUUCCUUCCAAGUAAAUUUGUAAAAUAAUCUUCUAGCAUUGCAAGAUCAAGUAUACCUACUCAGUUGGAAAAAUAUGUCACCUCGACAUUCUAUAUGUUACUAUUCUAGAGGGUUCAUUUAGAUUGCAUCAGUACCAUAAACAGUCAAACCUAGGCAGACAAAUACCCAGAAGAGCGCAGAAAAUAGCCAAUUUAAGCUAUGAACGAGUCCAAAAAAGAAAAACUCAAAAGGCUAGAUAGAGUCAGAGCAUAUAGUAUUCUAUAACUACAGCACUGUGUUCAUUGAGUGAACAACGCAGACCUUGUUGCAUCAAAGCCUCCCAUAUAACAAUAUCUUGAUGCACUGAUUCCUCCAUCAGGCCCCUGAUAGAUGAGUAUUUAUAGGUCUAACAUACAAAGGUUAAUGGAUGAGCAAGCAAAACAGAAUGAAAAGUAAGACCCACUUGAGCCCGUCGAAGUCCAAAUUCAAGUAAAUUCUUUGACUUUCCAGCUACAAGUCGGUGUCUUGCCGCAUUUGUGGUAACCAGAGAAGCAUAGUUGACCAGACUUAGAAAUGGAGUUUCAAGAAGCUGGACAACCUGGCACAAAAAUCGCAAUCUCAAUGUAUGGGAAAACUGAAAUAUCAAUACAAGUUAAAAAUGUGUCGAUCUACAUCAGCUACUGUUGUGAAGCUUCUACACGCUAACUUACUCCUGGUACUUACAGCAACAGGUCCUUCAAUUCUCAUCAGUGGAACUUUAGGGAACACAACAUAACCCUCGGGUAUGGCAUAAACCUCCACAUCUGAGCAGUCAAUCGAACGGAGGUACUCAAAGAAGCCAUCCUACAAAAAGAGCGGUGACUUGGAAGCAUACAUUAGUUGGUUGCCAGAAGACAGGAAAGAACCAUUAUUAUAAUAUGAAAAGGGCACAGUUGAGCUGCUAAUGAAAACAAAAAAUGUUCUUCAACUGUACAUCAUGCAGAAUUUCCCAUAACAUGAUCCAGUUUUUUCAACAAGACUAGCAAACCCACCUCACAUGUAGGCAUGACAGAUCGCAGAAAUUUGAUUUCAUCCUCCGUGAACUUGAAGUUAGCAAUGAACCUUAUACAUUCCUCGAGGCCACCAAAGAUGGUGAACUCACCGCCAAAUGGACUUUUCCGGAAGUAGAGAUCAAAACUGAAACAAUUUCAGUUCGCAAUAAGUACAGGUGCAAGAGAGUAAAACAUAACUAGAAGACCGAUACAAACAGAAGAAGUGUGACGCUGAUUUACACACUUGCUAAACUACCCUGCAUUGUACCAAGUACCACCUAGAUAAAGCACUUGGCCUAGUGCAAACGGUUUUCCAUUGCAAACAUCUUAGUAAAACAUACUGAAAUGAAACUACCGAGAAGAGCCCAAAUCUGCUCAAGAGUUUAGCAGACCACAAUUAUCACAGUAGCCCAGCCUCUCGCACGAUUUCACAAAAAAAAAAGUAGAAAAAUAAUUCCAAAACACUACCCAGUGACGUCUAAUUCGAGGCGGGACCAUAUCUAUCAUCAUUCAUCCCCUCCUCACUGGCCUAACAAAUCGACCGCUACUCCGCCGGAGGUCAAGUGUAAACUGACACAACAAAUCGAGGGACAGGACAGAGGAGACAAAGGGAGCAUGGGAGAGUUAGGGGUGGGGAGGGAGCAGGGGGCUCAGGGCUAACACUGCGCGGUCGAGGUGCUUGCCGGCCUUCCAGUAGGCGUAGGCCAUGGUGAACUGGUAGAGGUCGGUGAGCAGCGGCGUCACCAUGGGGUUCGUCGGGCGCGGUACCCCGCCGCCGCCGUGGCUGGCGUCCCCGUUCGCCGCCGCCAUGUGUUGUUUUUUUUACCCUUACUGUGGCGCGCGUCUCGUGCUCCUGUGAUGGAGAGGAACGGAGGAACCGAGAGUAAAGCAGGGGAAGAGGAGUGGUGGUGGUGCCGGCUACGGUGGCGGCUCCUGGAAACCUUUUGAGCCGAAACCGAAAGCGAAAAAAGGCCGAGAUCGCGACGACGCGGACACGUGGCGCCCCCACUUUUACUGACGGGCCUGGUUGGCGUAUGGAGAACGCGAAUCACGACUGGGGGUGAUUCCCUGGACCGGAUACCAAAAUAGAAAAAAAAAUCUGCUAGAAACUCCUACUUUAAAAUCACAAAACUUAACAAAAUGGCAGUAAUAAAAAAAUUUGAGACUUAGAUUCUGUUAGUAUCUCAUUCCCUUACAGAUACUGUUCUACAUAAUAGACUUAUCCACAGAAGAAAACGAAGUUAAGGAUAAUCUUCAGUCAUGUGCUAGGCAGAAGAUGAAACCAGCAAAUUGUGCAUUAAAUAUCCAGAAUAAGCCAAACACAGCUCCUUCCUUAAUAGCUGUAACUUAACCUUGGACUAUGACCAAUCAGUGAUCACUAGUGGUUAUAUAGCAGAAAUCAGAAUUGAGAACAGGAUUAGCAUGAGUUGCAGUUCCAACAUCCACCUAAACCACAGAAUGAGAUGUUUACAUUGCACUCUACAGGGAGCACUAGCUGCAGCAUAGGCAUCGGCAAGGCCAGGAACAGAGUCCUUGUGACAGUCGAUGAACUUUGAUUUGAAAGUCUCUUCUGUAUAAUUCACUAAUUGGAAAAGGUUCAUAUCGCUAUCCAGAAAUCCCUUUUCCUGCAGCACUUUCAUGACAUGAUGCCGGGGCACUAGCCGCUUCUCCAAGCUGAAUGCCAGCAGGAUAGGCCUUUGCACAAUAUACGUGGCUCCAUCGCAGCCUCAUUGAUCAGGAACUCAAUCUUGCGAAGAAAAGUGGCAUCAGAUAAUCCUAGUAUCUGUGGCAUCUUGGACACUGCAAUGGAAACUUCAGACUCAGAACAACCAAGAGUCCUCUUCAAGAACUCAAGCUUGGCAGCAACCUUCUCUUUGGAAAGACUGGAGAUAACAGCCACUGCAUGCCUAAACAACCGGGAAGUAGGAGGCACCCCAAGUUCUUCUGCCCGGAGCAAAAACUCCUUCACGCGUUCCGGUUUGAAGGUAAGCACCCACGAUUUGGUUAAACAUAGCUGAGCAAUGUCCUGUACUCCCCACUGACGAAACAAAGCUACGUUGGGCUUGAUUAUCUUCUCAAGGCCCACCGUGAAGGUAAGCACCCAGGAUUGGGCUUGACGAAACAAAGCUACGUUGGGCUUGAUUAUCCUCUUUGCGACCAGCAGGACCCGAUCGAACAAGCCGAAUAAGGAGAUGAAGAACUCAACCUUGGGAGCGACAUCGCAGAUGCUGAGAGCGUGUGAGGCGACCAUGAGGAAGCGAGUGAUCUGGGGAGUAGACAGACCAACGCGGUCACGGAGAUGAAGAAGGCGGGGAGCGAGGUUCUUGGCGGAAGUGCGGAGGAGGAGCGGUUCCGCGGAGACGACGGCUGCGAUGUCGGCGCGGGAGAGGCCAGCGCUGUAGAGCAGGUCGAGGAUGGCAUCGGGGUUGGAGGCGGUGGCUGGAGAAGUCCUUUUUGUAUAGUAAGGAAAGCUUUCUUGGACACCUGGCGAUCUCUGCUAACAACCAUGCAACCGAGGGCAAGAUGGACAUUUCUCCUGCCUGGUCCCACAUGUUAGAGCUGCAAACGGUAGAAAAUAAACAGAAUGACGCACGGGUGUAGACGAAGAUGAAGUUGGACAUACAGGUACCAACGAAUUUUUUAGGGGCAUAGAGGUUCGACCCAUCUUUUAUAAUGGCUUUUAGGUAGAAAGCUCUCGGGGCGAGGCCGCAGGCGGCGACGAGGUAGUCCUCGAGGGAGAAGGGUGCGGGUAAGGUGGUGGAGGUGGAGAGGAGGAGGUGGCAGUAGCACGCGCGAGGGGGGGGGGCGGAUCGGGGAGGGUAGCGAGGAGGCAGCGCGGAGCAGAGGGAGGAGGCGAUUCCGGAGGCACAACAUGGCGACAACGAAGGGGAGGGAUGGACGGAUGGUGUUGUGCUGGGCUCCUGGGAGAAGGAGGCUGUGUGGGUUUGGAAUUCUAGGCCGCCAAACGGGCACAUGAAUUGGGCCGGAUGGACCGGGCCAUCAAAAUCGAAGGAGAGUUGACGAGCCGCAGCGACCACAAUUUGCGUGUGCUACGAAUCCAUCUUCAGUUCCCAUGUCUUGUAGCACAUGCAGUCUCAACAGUUUCCCAUUGUUGUUGAUGUCUCCCUCUCGGUGGGUAGCUGUCACAAAUCGCCCUGUUGUGCUUUCCUAGCCCAACUCAACUCUGUCACGCUUUGUGUAUCUCUUUUUCCCAGAGCGACCGCUGGCAUCAAUCUAGUAGUGUGAUCACAAAAACAUACAAGGUGAGUAAUGAUGCUAAUCACUUCGCACGGCCUCAUGCUUUAUGAAGCAUUUAGGUCGAAUACUCAUUUUAGUCUCUCAACUGUCGCUUGAGGUUUAGUCUUCAUCUCUGAAGUUUCAAAACGAUUUUUUAGGUCUUUAAAAUUUAUUUUUAAGCUCAGUUUUUUUUCCGAGAUCGGGCCAUUCACCCAUUUUUCUUUAAGCUCAGUUUCAUCCCAGGACUAUCAAAAGUGACCAUUUCAAGUGACAAACCUUGAAUUUUGGCCUCAAUUUUAUCCAUGAACUACUAAAGUACACCUUUCAGUCCUCAAGCUUUUCUUUUCAGCUCAACUUUAUCCCUAGUCCUACAUGGAACGCAUGAUGGCAAAAGGCACUGAUCAAGACAAGUCAAGAUGGGGCUAGAUGAUAUUGGGGUGACCCAAUAGCUGUAUUACUCAAGCAGUAGAUCAGUAUUACUUUUGAGUAGCAGCACAUUCUAAGUAACUGGCCAAGCAGUGGCUAAACUCACAUUGAAGUAGUUUGAGAAUGAGGAUAACAAGUCUGUGUCUACUGAUCGCCACUCCAGCUACACGGACGAUGAUAAUCAGGAAUUCACCAAGCCGUCCAAGCAAUCUCAUAGAAAUCCUGACCAGCAUUGUGGUCUGUUGAUUGCCUCAUGUUGCACUUCUAAAAAUGCAUUUUUUCCUCUUCUGGUGGCUCCAACCAAAAAUUAAACCUUCAGCAUUCCAUUAGGAACGUGGGUGAUAACAACUACAUUGCACUUUGAACGCAGUUAUGCCAGAUGGCUGCAGGUUUACAAACAAUCUCUUAAGUUGGACUCUUGUCUCCUUUGCUUUAGCAAUGGAACACAAGUUUGAUAGUGAUGACUGUCACCUUGAUCUCACUGAGUUAACAACAUUGAGGAAAAUUGGCACAGUGAAAGAUUAUGCCACACUCCCUGCCCUUUUCGAAGGUUCUUUGAAAAAAGAAGAUUAUGCCACAUGUUUUGAGGCCUUGCUGUUUCAAGUGCAUGAACAUCAAUCCCUACGGAUCAAUCUAGCAAUCAACAUAUAUGAUGGGCUUUUCUUUGUAUCUCAUCUCACUGAAUGAUGAAUAGCUUUUGAGGCCUUGUUGUUUCAAGUGUGCAUGCACAACAACAAAUAUGAUGACCUUUUCUUUGUAUCUCAUCUGACUGAAUGAUGAAUGAAAUUAAGGAUGAUAUAUACUAGGGCUAUAGUGAAAGCACAUGUAGAACUGACAGUGGAUAAAGCAUUUAUCAUUGCCAAAAUUCAGCAGAGCCUGUUGGAGAGAACCAAAAGUACAGGUCCUCGGAAAUAUGCACCUUUUAAUAGAACUGCCCAAUAAGCACCCAAGUACAACCAGAAACCCCAACCACAUAUUGGCAAUCUCUAGAAAGAAAGGCAACUCAUGCUUUAAUAGUUAAUGAUCUGGAUCAGCCACUAUCUGAUGAUAUCUUGAACCAAUUGGUUGUCGAAGAAGCACUUGCUGAAGACUUUUACCACCUCUCAUUAUAUGCCAUGACUGCAGCUGACAACUGGGUGCAUCAAAUCAAAUUACGAUUAUUCAUGGGCAACAAGGCUGUGCUUAUGUUACUAGACAGUGGACAGUCGCAGUUCUCAUUCAUUUGUCGGUACUGCUUUUGUUUCCAAAGCUAGGUUACCAAUUAUAUAGGUGUCACCAAAGUGUUAAGUUACCUAGUGAUUAUCAAAGAGAGUUAAGUUACAUAAUUGUGCCUAAAUUACCAAUGACAGUGUUGGAUCUGGAGGUCUAUGAUACUACAUUGGGGUAUGACUGGCUAAAAGCACAUAGUCCCAUAACAUAUCGAAAGAUACGGUUGAAUUCUAGUCUAAAAUUCCUAUCAUUUUUCUAUUUCAGCUGGUUUUAUAUCCCAAAAUAUGUGCUUCUCUGCUAGGGACUGCAUCUAGAAAGUGAACUUUGCUUGUUCAUGGUUGAACUUUAUAUUUGUGUUACCUGUUCUAUAAUGCAGUAACCAUGCACCUAGAUGUUUAGAGGUGAUGCAUUGUGGUAGAGAAACUUUUAUAUGCUCUUUGAAAAAAAAAGAAAAUGAACAAAAGAACACGCUUACAAGUCACAUUUAUUUUUAGCAUUGUUGGUUUACUUGGCCUCCAACGUGUAUGUUAUGAAGCAUCUUUAUUCAUUGGUUCAGGUAAUGUUUACUAUUGUGAACAGAGUUGUGUUAUCAUGUUGACGUGCGCCUGUUUGGUUCAUUGCCCGACCUCCAAACCACCAUUGGCUAGGCCCUGUGCAUGAAAGAUGGUGUUGUUUGGUUACUUGGCUUAGUUCAACCAGGACACAAGGAGCAGAUAUUUGGUUACCUGUAUCAGAUUCAAAAUGGCAAUAUGCACGAAACUUGUUUUGUUGACUGCGUAUAGGUUGGAGUUACCACUUGCUUGCACUGGUAAGACCACUCACAAUGCAAGACUCUAUCACAGAGUCCAAGACAAUUAAUUACAUAUUAUUUAUGAUAUUUUGUUGAUAUAACAGUAUAUUUAUUGAAGAAAGAGGUAGAAAAAAUAAGACUCCAAGUCUUAUUUAGACUCUAAGUCUACAUUGUUCGAGGUAAUAAAUAACUUUAAACUCUAUGAUAGAGUCUGCAUUGUGAGUGCCCUAAGCUCACCACCAGCUAGUCUAAGAGGGUUACAACAGAAAGAUUGCUUUCAAUAUUACAUCAAGUUUGAAAGCAAAAUUACAAACACUAAAGCUUGGACUAAUAUUAUUGCACCCUCCACUAAAAUUAUAAUAUCUUUCCAUGUCGCACCACCCCUCUUUAGAUUAGCUACUGCAGGCUCUGGUUCAUUUGCACGAGUAUCAGUCAUGCGAACAUCGCCAGCAACUUCUUGGGCAAUAAUCCUAGCAGGUGCCACAAGGGAAUCUGUAAACGUAGACUUGCCUACAAGAAUUAAUAAUACUACCAUAUAAGAACGAUGUGGAACUUCAAUAUGUGCAACAUAGAGUAGUACAAUAUUAGGGACAGACAAGCAAAUCAAAAGUUAACAAACACACCAGUAGAUUACAGUCUAGAGUAUAUAGCUAUUAAUUGAUACCAUAUAAAACACAAAAGAUAAAUACCUGAACACAAGUAGUUAGCUAGGCCUAAAAUAGAUAGUGCAACAAGAAAUGAAACAUCUGUUGUAAAAAAAUACAGAUCUUAAUUUUACUUUUUACGGUAGUAGAGCUUAAUAUUGAAAACACCAAAUUAAUAACACACAAGUAUAUUUAAUACAUACAGCCAAUAGAUAAUAUAUAUGACAAUACCUAGAGAAAACGAAUACACUAAAUACAAGAUGAAAAUAAACAAUAAGCCUAUUUCAUACAUGGGAUAGAUAUCUGUGACUAUUGAAACAAUAAGCCUAUAGUAGAUAAUGCGGCAUGAAUAGAACCAUCAGCAGUCAAGCACAGUACAGAGCUUAAAUAUUGAAACAGAACAAGUCUUGACAUAAAAAAGGCUUGAGCAUUGUUACCAAUUUUGUUCUUUUUGUCCAUAAUUUUGUUCUUUUUGUCCAUAAUGACACGGAGAUCUUCAGCCGAGAACUUCACCAUCUUGACUUCUUAUGAAGAUCACACUACCAAUUCCACUAUUUAAUCCUGUUGUUGAAGGUUUGGGUAUUAAUAAGAAUCUAAUAAAAAACAUGAGAAAAUAACUAAACUGGAAACUUUGACACUGACACCGGUAGCCAAAAAGUAAUAACCACUAUAGUUGUCCAAUGUCAAAACCAAAGGAACUUGAAAAUUUUAGAAAGUUAAUAAAAUGUUUUAACAUGCAUUAUUUGUCAGGAUACAAGUAUUCCCUUGUUUACACCACACUCACACUUCACAGGAUUGUAAGCACAAAAUCUAAGAAAAAGGUAAACUGAAAACCAUGAAUGAUGUAUCUUAGUUGAACAAUCUAAGAUCUACUAUCAGAACAGCACAACUUAUAUUCUUUAAAAACAGACCAUCGAGGUAACAGACACGAAACAAUCGAAUAAUAGCAAUUUAGGCUCGAGGCACUUCCAUAUGCAUGCGCGGAUAUGGACACAGUAUCAUGAGAAUGCGGAUAUGAAGAUACGAUUUUUUUUCCAGAAAACAUGAUACAGGCACAUAUAGUAGGAAAUUAGAAUUGUCCUGUAUCCUAAAAGCAGUUGCAACUUAGCAGUAACAUAAAAAUUGGCCUGUAUUCCGAUUGACCUGUUGUAGGUGCUGAAUCCCGUCUCCAAUCUUACAAGUGACAAAGACAGACAAUUCAUCAACUAAUGAAUAUAAAGGACAGGAUCCCGUCCACGAUCUUACAAGUGACCAGACAAAUGAUGGACAAUUAGUCGAUUUACCGUGGGCUGCGUGCGGUGGUGGCAGCUGCUGCUCGUCGCAACUCGCACGUGCUAGGGCUCGCUGCCGGCGCAGAGGCUGGCGGGUGUAUAUAUAGGUGGUAUAUAAUGGGCCAAACAGUGACCAGCCCACAUACUUAAGUGGGCCAAGACAUAUUCUGGUCUGAAAUUCCUGACAUUUUCCUAUUUCUGGCUUGUUUUGAAUCCCAGAAGACGCGCUUUCUGCUAGGGACUGCAUGUAGCAAGUGAUCUUUGCCUGUUCAUGACUGAACUUUAAAUUAGCACCGGUCUGUAUUUAUUUCUAUAAUGUAGUACCACCAUGCACCUUGUGGUAGAGAAACUUUUAUAUGCUCAUUGAAAAAAAGAAUAUGAAUGAAACAACACGCUUACAAGUCAGAUUGCACUAACAUUGUUGGUUUACUUGGCCCUCAGCGUUUAGGUUGUGAAGCAUUCAUUGGUUCAAGCAGUGUUUACAGUUGUGAACAGAUGUUAUCAUGCUUUCACAUACAAAACCCUGGGCACACCUUUGCCGGCGCUAGAGUUUAUCUCUCGAAUCUGUCAAUCAUUCAGCAGUAUUUUUCUCUCACAAUAAAUUAGCAAAUAGUAUUUUUAUCCAUGGCUUUUCUGUCAAGCAAACGUCACUCUGCGCUUCUACUUUUACUUGUUUAAUUGGCAAAAUUUUGGAAUUUCGGAUACCAUAGCACUUUCGUUUUUAUUUGACAAAUAUUAUCAAUCAUGAACUAACUAGCCUCAAAAGAUACAUCUUACAAAUUACAGACAAACUGUGUAAUUAGUUUUUGUUUUCAUCUAAAUGUGAUAGGGAAUCUAAAAUUUUUGGCAAAACUUUUUGAAACUAAACAAGGCCUAACAUACCGACAGUCCACAGAUUACACAUACAUACAAACAAAGAUGAACAGAUAAGUCUUCAAAGUAAUAAGCAAGUGGUGUAGCAAGCAUGAAAAAGCCAACAACGUUGCUAAUGAGCUACAGACUACACAUACAAACAAAGAUGAACAGAGUAAAUAAGCAAGUGGAGUAGCAAGCAUGAAAAAGCCAACAACGUUGCUAAUGAGCUAGCUCGGCAAUGUCUCUAGAGUCUUGUAUUUGGGUUGAACCCUCUAGUUAUAUUUUUCAUCUUUAAGCAAACGAUAUAUCAAUUUUCUAAAAUGAAUAAAGCUUAGGAUGUGUUUAAUAAAAAAAAAGAGGGGGGUGGGGGAGUUGCAAGCAACCAAACAUGCUGAUCUAAGUAUUGGAUGACAUCAUGCAUAAUGCAUCAAAGUACAUACCUAUUGCUAAUUUUGUGGAUUUAGAUCUACCUCAAUUCUAACCUACUACAAUCAACAUGGAUACAAAACAAUACAAGAAUCAAGAGCUGCAAAAAAUGACUAUAUACUUCACAAAGAAAAGGCAAGGAAACAACGAGCAAAAGGGUUAACUGUCUGACAGAUCAUGCACAGCGUUAAUAAGACAGUGGAUAUAAGAAAUACACCCGGAAAAUAAGUAUAUAACCAAUUACUAAACCAAAGAUACCACCUCUGUUUCAUCUGCUACAUCAAAACGGAUAUCAAAAUAGUGUCUCAGGCUCUCAGCACAGAUUGACAAACUACAUGAUGACCAAUAUAGUUCAGAGACAGGUGCAUUCGACAACUAAAACGAAGCAAAAUAUUCAAGUCGUUCCCAUUACAGUACACGAAUUGACGAUUAAACCAGCAGGUGUAACAGUAGAACAAACAACCAAAAAUUUAGAGCUUGUCCUCAAACUCAGAGAGAGGGGUCAUCUGUUCCUUGAGACCCUUCCUCUUGCGGAUAUCCAGCACCAGCUGAGCAGCCUGGGAGCCAGCCUCCAAAGGAUCAGAGCCCAUCAUGUCCCAAUGGUCAAAGACACACUGGGGGAACGCCUGACCAGAGGUUGCAGCCCUCAGUUGGCUGGAGAACCCAAACGACUCGAUGACAGGGAGGUAAGCCUUGAUGUUGUAGAGCGGGGUACCCGGCCUCUGCAUCUCCUCAAACACAUGCCCUCUCUUCUGGUUCAGAACACCGUAGAUACCACCAAGUGCAUUUUCUGGGGCCUGAAUCUCCACCAGGUACACUGGCUCCAGCAGCCUUGGCUUGGCCGUGAGCUGAGAAGCAUAGAUGACCCUCCUGGCAGUUGGGAUGACCUGGCCACCACCCCUGUGGAUAGCAUCAGCAUGAAGAACGACAUCACAGACCUCAAAGCAAAUUCCGCGCAUGUUCUCCUCAGCCAGUGCACCCUCCUUUGAUGCCCACUGGAAACCAGCCACGACAGAAUCCUUGAUUUCAUUGAGAUACUGCACUCCCUUACACAUAUCAACAACCAUGUUUGGGCCAGUGGUCUCAGGUCCAAAACACCAAAUCUUCUUGGCGAGAUCCUUGUCCCACCCAAACUCCUGAGAGAGGAUCUGGGAGCGCACCUUAGGAUCAUCACGUGGGCCAAUGCGGCCAUCAUCGAUGGCCUCAGCGAGACCCUCCUCCAAGGGGCGUGCUUCCAUGUACAGACGGUUGUGCUUGUUGGGAGACUUGCUCAUGACAGUACGGCAGGACUUCUCAAGAACGGUUUCCCGGAAGGACACAACAGGAGGGGAAACAAUAAUUUCAGCACCACCCAUGAAGUCCUCCUGCAGAUCCUUCAGGCAAAUCUCAAGAUGAAGCUCACCAGCUCCAGCAAUGAUAUGCUCACCAGACUCUUCGAUUGUACAGAGAACCAUAGGAUCAGACUUCGCCAGACGCUUCAAACCUUCGACUAGCUUGGGAAGGUCAGAGGCAACCUUGCACUGAACAGCAACACGCACAACAGGGGAGACAGAGAACUUCAUUGCUCUGAUCGGGCAUGCAUCAACCUCCUUCUCAUUAGUGAGUGUAGCGUUCUUCGUGAUGAACUGGUCCAGACCAACCAUAGCAACAGUGUUGCCACAAGGAACAUCCUCAACUGACUCUUGUUUCUUUCCCAUCCAGAUAACGGUACGCUGGACACUCUUCACAUACAGAUCCUUCUUCUGCCCAGGGACAUAGUUGGGACCCAUGAUCCGAACCUUCAUACCAGUAGCAACCUUCCCUGAGAAGACACGACCGAAGGCAAAGAACCUGCCCUUGUCGGAUGCUGGAAUCAUCUUCGAAACAUACAGCAUAAGAGGGCCCUCCGGAUCACAGUUUCUGAUGGCAGUUGCAUAGACAUCAUCAAGGGGCCCCUCAUACAAGUUCUCCACACGAUACUUUUGAGCCUUUGCCGGGGAAGGAAGGUGGAAUAUCAUCAUCUCGAGCAGUGCAGUGCUUGCUGGUAGCCACGUUUGCAUAACACGCUUCAUCAAAGCUUUGCCAAUCAAUUCCUUCUCAUCAGACUUCAUGGUAACAUUGAGCUUUUGCAGCAUGGGCCACAAUUUCUCCUUCUGGUCGUUCAUGCAGGUGUUGAUGAUUUGCUUGAUUGGCUCAUAGCAGAACUGAACAAAUCCUCUCUUGCAGGUAGGGGAGCCUGUGUUCUUGGUUGUCCAUUUCUUGGUGGCAGGGUCAAAGAAGUUCUCACCCCAAAGCCUCUCCAUCAUCUUAGAUUCAUCAACUCCAAACUUAGAUGCAUACAUCUUGGCAAAGUUAGUGAGGGUAAAGGCCCAUCCGUGCAGACCAGCAGAAAAAGCAACAGUCCCCUUCUCUGGGUACACUUGGACGUCACCAAGGAGCUUAUCUUCGUAUGUUGCCAUGAUGACAUUGGCAUUCUCAAUGACACGGGAGAAGGUCUGGUAAGCUUCCUCGCCCUCAACCUGAAGCUCAAGGAAGCACCUGUCCAUCUUGUUCACGGUAAGAACUGGCCUAAUCCUCUCACCAAGGGCUUGGCGAAGCACAGUUUCAGUUUGCACACAGACACCUUCAAUACAGUCAACCACCACAAGAGCACCAUCGGUGAUGCGAAGAGCAGCUGUGACUUCCGAAGAAAAAUCAACGUGCCCAGGCGAGUCAAUAAGGUUGAUCAGGUAUUGGUUACCAUCUCUCUCACCCUUGUAAUUCUUCAGUGACUCGUCAGUCAUCUCAUAGUAAAGAGAGAUACCGGUAGAUUUGAUUGUAAUACCACGCUCUGCUUCAUCUGCACGAGUAUCAGUCAUGCGAACAUCACCAGCAACUUCCUGGGCAAUAAUCCCAGCAGCUGCCACAAGGGAAUCUGUAAGCGUAGACUUGCCUGCAAAGAAUUUAUAAUAGCAUAUAAGAACAGCAAGGAAAUUCAACAUGUGCAUCAUAUGGUAGUACAAUAUUAGGGACAGACAAGCAAAUCAAAAGUUAACAAACACAGUAGUAGAUUACAAUCUAGAGUAUAUAAUUAUGAACAGAUACUAUGUAAACCACCAUAUCUAAAAUAUACAAUGUAUUUCCUACAUGUGAUAAAUAUCUGAACAUAAGCAGUUAACUAUGCCUAAAAUAGAUAGUGCAGCGAGAAAAGAAACAUUAGCUGUAACAGAGCUUAAAUGUUGAAAACAUAAAAGUUAACAACUCAGUAGUAGUAUAUUACAAUCUAAUACAUACAGCCAGCAGAUAGUAUGUAUACCACAAUAUCCAGACAAAAGCAAUACAUUAACUGUAGAUGAAAAAAGCAAUUAGGGGAUAAAUGUCUGUGAUAUAGGCCUAUAGUAGAUAAUGCAGCAUGAAUAGAAGCAUUAGCACUCAGGCACAAUAGAGAGCUUAAAUAUUGAAACAAAAUUAAUCUUGACAUCAAAAUCAAAAAGGCUUGAAAACAUUAAGGAAUGCAUGUAUAUAUAUGCUAUCUAACAGAGCAGUGUUCUGAACAUACCAUGGUCCACAUGAGCAAUAACAGACAUGUUACGAAUGUUGUUCUUUUUGUCCAUGAUACCACGGAGCUCUUCAGCUGUGAACUUCACCAUCUUGACUUCUUAUAAAGGUCACGCUACGAAUACCAAUAUUUAUUCCUGCAGUUGAAAGUUCAGGUAUUACUAAGAAUACAAUAAUAAACAUGAGAAAAUAACUAUACUGAAAACUUUGACAUUGACAUCAGCAGCAAAGAAGUAAUAACCACUACAGUUGUCAGGAACAAAGAGAGGGAAAUUAUUAACCAUUUCAGAAAGUUAAUAAAAAUGUUUUAACAUGCAGUAUUUGUCAGGAUACAGUAUUCCAUUAAUAUACACCAUACUCAUACUUCACAGGAUUGUGAGCACAAAAGGCUAAGAAAAAAGUAAACUGAAAACUCAUACUUCACAGGAUUGUGAGCACAAAAGCCUCGUUAAUCUAAGAUCUACAGCACAACUUAUUUUCCUCAAAAAAAAGAGAGAGACCAUCGAAGUAACACACGAAACAAUCAAAUAAUAGCAAUUUGGGCUCGAGCCGCUUGCAUAGCAUAUGCACGGAUAUGGACACAGUAUCAGGAGGAUACGGAUAUAGAGAUACGAUAUUUUUUCUUUCAGAAAACAUGAUACGAGCACAUAGCAGGAAAAUAAAACUGUCCUAUAUCCUAAAAGCAGUUGCAACGUAGCACCAAUAACCAAAAAAAUGCAGUUUAUUGCGGUUGACCUGUUAUAGCUGCUGGAUCCCGUCCACGAUCUUACAAGUGACCAGACCAAACAAGUGACCAGACCAAACAGACAAUUCGAGUAACUAAGAAUAAGGACAGGAUCCCGUCCACAAUCUUACAAGUGAUCACAGACAAUUCGACUAAGGGACAAGGGACAGUAACAGGGUAAGGGAGAGGGGAAAGAGAAGAAGCUGUUUUGUAGUCGAUUUACCGUGGGCGUCGCCGGAGAUAGAGCUCGCUGCCGGCGCCGGAUCGCGUCGCAGGCGCGGGGGCGGGCGGCGGCUGCGGUGCGGUAGAGAUGGGUGACUGGGGGAGGUGAGCAGAGAUAGGGUUUUCUGUGCUCUUUGUAUAGUAUAUAUAUAGGGGGUUAAUGGGCCAAACGUUUAACGGCCCACAAACUUAAAUGGUCCAAGAGACGUUGGCCCAAAUAUCCGAUUUGUUGAAAAAAAUUAUAAAAUCGGAUUUAGGUGUUCUCUUAUAAAAUUGCAAAACUAGCAUCUUGUCGCUAUUCAACGGCCGAUAGGACACCUGUUGGCUAUCGAAAACUAGUUGGUCCUCCAAUCGGCUCGUCAUUGGCCGAGGCCAGUCUCUUUACUAUUUUGGUUUUAAGAAAUUUUUUUAUAUUAGCCCUUGUUUAGUUUCCAAAAAGUGCAAAAAAAAAUUCAAGAUUCUCCGUCACAUCAAAUCUUACGGCGCAUGCAUGGAGCAUUAAAUAUAAACAAAAAUAAAAUUAAUUGCACAGUUUACCCGUAAUUUGCGAGACGAAUCUUAUGAGCCUAGUUACUCUAUGAUUGACAAUAUUUAUCAAAUACAAACGAAAAUGCUACAGUAGUGUUUUCCAAAAAAAAAUUGGCAACUAAACCAGGCCUAAGCAAAAUAUAUAAAGACCCCCAAAAAAUUAUUAACAAAUAGUUCAGCUAAUCUUUUUAGGAUCUGUUCAUCGAUGGUUUAACAAAUCAAAUGUGAAUAAAUAGUACGCAUGCCAUUAGUGGAAACCCUACGUGAAAAAUAGUCUCUCUCACAUCAUAACCAUUAGUUGACGUAUUAUUUGAUAUAUUGACAACUAGCUUCUCGUCGCCUCCAGCAUGAACAAUCAUGAGCUCUAGAAUUUUUUUAGCCCAAUAAACUAAUAUUUUUAAAAAACAUCACAACUAAAUUUUUAGAAACUACUCGAUAUGGAUUUUGUGCUAGUCAUUUUUUUAGGUUUGAUUAGGUUUUAAAAAUAUUAAAAAUAUUUUUAUCUUUAAUAAUUUUAUUAUGAAAAAUAUAUUCAAUGACUUAUCUAAUGGUACUAAUUCUGCAUGACAAAUAAUAUUAUUUUCUUACAUAUAUUUUAUCAAAGUAAAAAAAUGACUUAUCGAAAGAUAGAGGAAGUAGCUCUUUUAGCCACGUCAAAAUUAAACUGCCAUCCGUCAAUCUUUUUUCAAUCAUCCAUUUUAUCGGCCGAGCAUCUCCCAUUUUUCUUAUAUAAAAUACAAAAAAAAAAUCCGGACUCACUUCCUCUACCUUUGUCGAUCGUGCAUCACACUAUAAAAAGAGCGAGUUUUUUUAGGGAGCUCUCCCUCUCUAAUAACCGUUCGAUCUAAACGUCGUGCUAUAUGUGCCUUCUGUCACCCGUGAUCUUACAUAAUAUAAGAUAUAAGAUUCCUCCUAAACCAAGAUUCCUCCUAGAUUCCAAAAACGGAAUAUAAUAGUCCAUAUUUGCAUAUUGGAGUCCAAUUCCAAUCCGCAUGCAUAGCUUUUCUGAUUUUUUAAGUCCAAUUCAUUAGCCGUUUCGACUUUUUUAAUUUCAAGAAAGAAUUAAGAGCAUAUUUUCUUUUUACCGUGCAUGCUUAAGAUCGGGCAUGCAUGAUCACUUGUUCAAGAAUAUACAUACAAGAUCUACCGGCAAUAGGAAGUCAAAUCAAAUUGAGAUAUAUUCACGCCAAUUUUAAAAAAUCAACCUAUUCAUGACAAUGUGGUAUGAGAUGACCCGUAUGAAUUCUCCUGCGUGAAUAGCGUUGAUCAUGAUUGGUCUUUGAGUCAAUCGGCAACGAAACAAACUUAAUUGGAGAGGCUAGAGCUGGGUUAAGGAGAAAUCUUGGUUUAAUAGGAGUCUUGUAUCUUUCAUGUAAGAUUGAUUUUCCUUUUUUAGGUAUACGAGGAAUCUUGGUUUAGAAAAAGUUUUACAUUUUACAUAUAAGAUCACAGAUGACAAAUGACUCAUAUAGCACGACAUAUAGAUCGAACAGAGAGCCUCCUUGAAAAAACUCACCGCCGCUGGCCGCGGAUUGUUCGAAAAAAGAAAAAAUAAUAUACAUCAAGAUGCAUACAUGCAACUAAUAAAUAAAUUAAUUGGAAAAAGAAAAAUAUGGAUGCGUGGAUGCAACUAUAAUAAAUAACAUCAAUAUGAAUGCAUGCUGGCGUAUGUAUUAGCAAUUAAAAAGAAAAAUAAAUUUGAACACACGUGAUUUUAUUUAUUAUGAUAAACAAGAAAGAAAAAACUAGCAAACGUUUUACAUUGUUUAUAGUACCAUAUUAUGAAUGAAUAAGUGAAAAUAAAAUCAAGGAACAUCUGAUAAUACAAACACGUGCGUGACGCACGUGCAUAUUUGCUAGUGUUUGAAAUCUCCCACUAUAGGUUUCUGCUCGGACUGGGUUCAGCUGAUUAUGAAGUGCGUUAUCUCUGUGUCGUAUCGGCUGAAAGUAAACGGCAACCGGUCUAACAGUUUUGUGCAAGAGCCUGGUCUACGGCAGGAGGAUCCACUCUCCUCCUAUCUAUUCCUACUCGGUGCAAAAGGCUUCAGUGGUUUUGUUGAAGGAUGCUGAACCAAGGGGUAUGAGAGUGUGUCCGAGAGAAUGCCAUGCAUUUGAAGUCUAUUCUACAGCUGUAUGAGAGUGUGUCCAGGAGAAGUCUGCUGUUCUCCAGUCAAAAAAUUGAUGAACCCUGAUUCGCUAUGUGCCCAAGUGCUGCGAGCAAGAUACUUCUCUGAUGGUGAUGUGCUACGAGCCAAACCGAAGAGGAUCAUGUCCUAUACUUGGCGCAGUAUCUUGGCCGGGAUCGAGGUGCUUAAGAAGGGACUGAUCUGGACAAUUGGUGAUGGAAUAACUACCGCUACAUGGACUGAUGAUUGGAUUCCAAGGGAUCAUUUGAGAAAACCAUACACGCCGAGGGCUGCUGACACGAGUGCAUGAACUUCUUGAUCCAACAAUGGACUGAUGAUGUGCUACUUUUUGGCAGGAAGACGAGCGAGGUCAUAUUGAGCAUCCCUGUUCAUGACAGGGAAUGGAUGACAUGAUUGCUUGGCACUACAACAAGACUGGCAUCUCCUCUGUAAAGUCGGCCUACAAAAUCCAAGUUGCCAACAGGGAAAAAAGCAAUGCAGAGCUAGGAGUGGUGGGUCAGUAAUGCUAAUGGCGAUCAGCUGUGGAAGAAGCUAUGACAAGUAGACUGUCCAAAGAAAAUGUUGCACUUUAUGUGGAGACUGUGUCAUAAUAGUUUGGCCUUGCGUGUCAACCUAAAACGCCAGGGUAUCAAAUUGAAUCCCUGCUGUGUUCUCUGUGGGCGGUGUCUGGAUGAGGAUGGAGCUCAUUUAUUUUUCAAGUGCAAAGAUGCAAAGAGAGUAUGGGAAGAUAUGCAGCUCCAUGGUGUGAGGGAUCGGCUUGCACAAGCCAUCACGGCAGUUCUGAAACUGAAGGAAGAAGUGCAGCGAAGGGUGAUUACUUUCAUGUACAUUUGGUGGUCGGAACAAUGCAGAGUUCACGAAGGGGAUGCACAAAGGAGUCCAGAACAGAUCGUCCAGAUAUACUGUAAUAGUCAGUUGCUACUCCGAAGAAUGGGCUUCUCUGAAGAAUAUUUAGGCAGCACCUAUCUCCACUAUAAUUGAAAAACUUUUUGGAACCAGACAAACUUACUCCCCCAACAAACUCAUCCCACCGCAGUCCACUAAUCCGGCCCACUAAUGUUCACCGUAACCAAUCCUCACGCCGCGGUCUCUCCAGGUCAAUCACGGUUCAUCUCAAAAUUGAAUCCACUCCGCCUGCCGUCCAUUUGAAACCACCACCUGCCGUUCAUUUGAAUCCACUCAUCUGCCGCCACAAUCUACGCCUCCCUUCCUCUUCCAGCGUACCAGCGAUCUACGUACAAGCAGAGCACAUACAAGCAGGACACCGCCAAGAGCACGUACUUGACGUCGGCGCCGCCACAUCUACUCUUGUCCUCCACAACGACACGGCGGACGGCAGGGAGACGGACUUUGGAUCGGCAACAGUCAGGUGAUUUUGUGAUUCAUAUACAAGAGCGUACAAACGGUAAAAAAAUAUAAUGCUUUUGCAGAUUAUUUUUGGCUUUUGAUCUUUAGUGUAGACUGUAGGUUACGUUUUACUACCUGCAGGCAAUUUUUUUAUCUUCCUCUAAAUAAUACAAGUAGUAACUAAUAGUACAAGUAUGCGCCGAUCAUUAUAGUGCUUAGGUGUUGCCCCUGCUGCAUGUCAUAAAUUAAACCAUCUAAUCGUCUUGCUUAGGUCCCUGACGGCAACAUGAAACCAUUAGUGAUCUCAGCAUGCAUGGUCCUGUAGUAUAUGCAUAUACAUCUGAAUGGUUGCAUGUACAUCUAAAUCUAUAUACAUAUACAUCUGAAUUAUUCCAUGGUUUCAGAUAUUUUACAAUAGUUGGAUCAUGAAUCAUUUAACAUGGAUUCUGAAUGGUUCCAUGGUUUCAGAUAUUUUAUAUCUGAAAUAUUAUUAAUAUUUUACAAGAGGAAAAAGAGUUGGAUCAAGAAUUAUUUAAUAUGGGUAUUCGGAUGCUCGCGCGCUGACAAAACAAAAAUACCACCUCAUGGAUCUUAAAUUUGUUGUAAGUUGUUAUAUAUAAAUCAUUAUAAAAUAGUAUAAUUCAUUAAAAAUUGCUAAUUUCUACAAAUUCAACAGGAAAUAAUUAGGUUUGAAUGAGAUCCACGAUGUUGUGGACCGGUUAACAAAGUAUAUUAAGAAAAACUGAAAAAAGUACUUGAGUGUUGGCCUGACAUACAAUAUCACAUAAAUGACUGUAGCAAUGUAAGUUAAGUUUUAUUUACUAUAUACUUUGUUUAAUUAAUUUUUUGCACUUACCAAUCAAAUAUUCUAUUUAUGUGUCUUAGAUUCUACUACCGUAUUAUCGAGACGGACUGUAUAUUUUAUUCAUAAUAGACAUGUAAAACAAAAUUGUGCGUAUUAUGGAUCCACUACAAAGACAAACUGCUUUGGCUGGUUUUAGUCAAGAUAUGGUAUAUACAACUACAUUCCAAGCUAUUGCUACAAUGUUCACGUUCGCCAUGAAACUAUCAAAAUCAAAGAGGAACCACUGUAUAUCUUCAUGGCGGCGAGAAUACCCUGCAUGCGUGACAAAGGUUACAUCAAACCACAAAGACUGGUAUUACUUUUGGUUCAACUUUGUUUUAGUUGUAACAAAUAUUUCAGUUUUGUAUGCCAAAUAAACAAUUGAUCUUGUACAGGAACUGGGAGGAUUUCUUGUAUACAAUUUCACGAAGUUGUGGGAUGAUGUAAAAUUGUCACCGAUCAAUAAUGUAAGCAUAUGCAGUCUCCAACUAUAUUUGCAUCAAUACACGAUUAAAUAUUAACAUAAUAAUAUCUGUCAUUCACAGCUGUCAAGAUCACUAAGGACGGAGUUCUUGGCUGACAUUUUGGCGAGUCAUGCAAACAAGUGCUACGACAACAUCCCUGAAGAUAUCCAAUAUUUGAUUAAAAAGUUAGGAAAAUGUAAAGAUAUCUUUAUGUACUGAUGGUUCAUAAAAUGUAUAUAGACUCAAAAACAAUUGUUCAAAAUUAAAAUUCUAAAAAAAUUACUAUGAUUUAUAUAGCAUUUCCUAGCCUUUUCUCCGUUCUGACAAACAUGUAGGGUUAGUCGCGUGCCACCGCUUCUCCACGAGUCGGAACGGAGACACUAGGUCUUGUUUACUUCUAUUUUUUUUUAAAUAGGAAUAGUAACAUUUUCGUUUGUAUUUGACAAAUAUUGUCCAAUUAUGUACUAACUAGGCUCAAAAGAUUCGUCUCAUCAAUUUCGACCAAACUGUAUAAUUAGUUUUUAUUUUUUAUCUAUAUUUAAUACUUCAUGCAUACGUACUAAACAAGGCCCUGAUCCCCUUCUCUCCUUGCACCUAUAACAUGCUAGGGGCAUGUUAGUCUUUUUUUACGAGUGGCCCCAUUCGACGGUUCACGGUCUGUUUAGAUUCAAAUCUUUACAUCUUAAAUAGGUGUUUAAAUCCUUCUUAAAUUUUUUUUAUCUGCAACACAAGACACGAGUCCCUAAGCAAGUUUACACAGUUUUAGGGCUCUAAGAGCAUCUCCAAGAGAUUAGCCAAAUCAUUUUCUAAAGGUAAAUUUGGCUAUUGUUGAAGGAAAAACUUCUCCAACAGAUUUUGUAAAUGACGGUUCAAAUUUAGCAGCUCUCCAUUCCACCUUAUUCGCUCUCUACUUUUAGAUAGCCUACCUCACUAGUCAUUCUUUUAUACAGUCUGUUGGAGUACUCUAAUAUCUUUUUAUCAAAUCUAUUUUAGAGAGCAAUUAAAUCAGUAAAUUUGCCUAGUCUUUUUGGCUAAUCUCUUGGAGAUGCUCUAAGGUCCCAAAUUCCAAAUCUUUACAACCCAAGUUUUACAAGCCCAUGUUUAGAUCUAUUCUUCCAAAAAAUACUCAUUUCUCUAAAAGUUUUGGCUGUAUCUAAACAGGGCCUCGAUGUUAUGGUAGUGUCAUUUUGGGAACAGAAAUUUUAAGGAAGGGUAAAAGAAAGAUUUGAAGUUUCGAUGUCAAAUGGGGAACAACAUUUUUUUAAUGUCAAAUAAGGAUUUUUCUCAUUUAUAGAACUGAGUUACGAUUUUAUAAACAAAUUCAUGCAUGCAUUAAACCCGUCACCUGAGAUAAACCAAAGGAGCACAUACAAAACUAGACAAAACGACCCAAUAAAAAUAGGAAUGAUUCCUAACUCAUGUUCUUAACAAGUAAUUACCCUAUAUCCAAAACUAGACAAGGAAAAAUACGACUGUCCAAGAAAUUGCUUAACUGAUAUCCUAGCUGAUAGCUACAACAUCCAACCCAAAAAUGAGGGUAAUUUUUUGUUGCUCAUUGUCAAGCCAACGUCCAGGCCUAAACUUCACACUCCAACAGAGCCUAGUGUAAUAGCCCAAAAAUUUCUAACCUACCAUGAAUCACACAUGUGCAACACAUUUAGCAUACAUUUGAAUGUUUUUAAUUUAAUUUGAAAAUAAUCCUAAAUUUGAGCAUGCUUCAUUAAGGAACUUUGAGUUUCACUUAAACAUGCAUGCUAAGAAAUUACAUGACAAACUACUAUUUUUCAAACUAUAAAAAUAGAUAUUUUUUCUUGAUUUUUGCGAAAACAUUUUAGGGCUAAAUAGCUUAACCAAAAUCUUAAACAUAAGUAUAUAACAUUAAGCAAAAUUACAAAGGUUAUUAUGAUGCAAGAUAAAAGUAAAAUGGGCCAUGCAUGUUUUUUGGCAUCUACCUAAAAAGUUAUAAGAUUUUACGAGAUUUCUCUGUACAACCGAAUCAUAAAUAUACGCGGCUCAUCAUGGACACAUCCCAAAAAAUUUGGCCAUUUAAACCUAUCUUAAUUCUAUGCACCCUACAGCCGAAUCAUAAAUAUACGGGACUCAUCAUGGACACGUCAAUAGAAAUAUCAAAAGAGCUGCAAAAAUGACUAUACACUUCACAUGGAAAAGGCAAGGAAACAACCAACAAAAGGGUGAAUUUAACUGACAGAUCAGGCAAAGCGUUAUUAAGACAAUAGAAAUGAGCAACACAGGGAAUACAAGUAUGUAACCACUAACUAAACCACACAGAUACCAACUCCGUUUCAUCUGCUACAUCACACCAGAUAUCAAAAUGGAGUCUCAGGCUCUCAACACAGCAGCAUACACUACAUGACCAAUAUAGUUCAGAGACAGGUACAUUAACUAAAACGAGAGAAAAUAUUCAAGUCGUUCCCAAUACAAUAGACAAAUUGACGAUUAAACCAGCAAUAGUAACAGUAGAACAAACAACCAAAAAUUUAGAGCUUGUCCUCAAACUCAGAGAGAGGGGUCAUCUGUUCCUUGAGACCCUUCCUCUUGCGGAUAUCCAGCACCAGCUGAGCAGCCUGGGAGCCAGCCUCCAAAGGAUCAGAGCCCAUCAUGUCCCAAUGGUCAAAGACACACUGGGGGAACGCCUGACCAGAGGUUGCAGCCCUCAGUUGGCUGGAGAACCCAAACGACUCGAUGACAGGGAGGUAAGCCUUGAUGUUGUAGAGCGGGGUACCCGGCCUCUGCAUCUCCUCAAACACAUGCCCUCUCUUCUGGUUCAGAACACCGUAGAUACCACCAAGUGCAUUUUCUGGGGCCUGAAUCUCCACCAGGUACACUGGCUCCAGCAGCCUUGGCUUGGCCGUGAGCUGAGAAGCAUAGAUGACCCUCCUGGCAGUUGGGAUGACCUGGCCACCACCCCUGUGGAUAGCAUCAGCAUGAAGAACGACAUCACAGACCUCAAAGCAAAUUCCGCGCAUGUUCUCCUCAGCCAGUGCACCCUCCUUUGAUGCCCACUGGAAACCAGCCACGACAGAAUCCUUGAUUUCAUUGAGAUACUGCACUCCCUUACACAUAUCAACAACCAUGUUUGGGCCAGUGGUCUCAGGUCCAAAACACCAAAUCUUCUUGGCGAGAUCCUUGUCCCACCCAAACUCCUGAGAGAGGAUCUGGGAGCGCACCUUAGGAUCAUCACGUGGGCCAAUGCGGCCAUCAUCGAUGGCCUCAGCGAGACCCUCCUCCAAGGGGCGUGCUUCCAUGUACAGACGGUUGUGCUUGUUGGGAGACUUGCUCAUGACAGUACGGCAGGACUUCUCAAGAACGGUUUCCCGGAAGGACACAACAGGAGGGGAAACAAUAAUUUCAGCACCACCCAUGAAGUCCUCCUGCAGAUCCUUCAGGCAAAUCUCAAGAUGAAGCUCACCAGCUCCAGCAAUGAUAUGCUCACCAGACUCUUCGAUUGUACAGAGAACCAUAGGAUCAGACUUCGCCAGACGCUUCAAACCUUCGACUAGCUUGGGAAGGUCAGAGGCAACCUUGCACUGAACAGCAACACGCACAACAGGGGAGACAGAGAACUUCAUUGCUCUGAUCGGGCAUGCAUCAACCUCCUUCUCAUUAGUGAGUGUAGCGUUCUUCGUGAUGAACUGGUCCAGACCAACCAUAGCAACAGUGUUGCCACAAGGAACAUCCUCAACUGACUCUUGUUUCUUUCCCAUCCAGAUAACGGUACGCUGGACACUCUUCACAUACAGAUCCUUCUUCUGCCCAGGGACAUAGUUGGGACCCAUGAUCCGAACCUUCAUACCAGUAGCAACCUUCCCUGAGAAGACACGACCGAAGGCAAAGAACCUGCCCUUGUCGGAUGCUGGAAUCAUCUUCGAAACAUACAGCAUAAGAGGGCCCUCCGGAUCACAGUUUCUGAUGGCAGUUGCAUAGACAUCAUCAAGGGGCCCCUCAUACAAGUUCUCCACACGAUACUUUUGAGCCUUUGCCGGGGAAGGAAGGUGGAAUAUCAUCAUCUCGAGCAGUGCAGUGCUUGCUGGUAGCCACGUUUGCAUAACACGCUUCAUCAAAGCUUUGCCAAUCAAUUCCUUCUCAUCAGACUUCAUGGUAACAUUGAGCUUUUGCAGCAUGGGCCACAAUUUCUCCUUCUGGUCGUUCAUGCAGGUGUUGAUGAUUUGCUUGAUUGGCUCAUAGCAGAACUGAACAAAUCCUCUCUUGCAGGUAGGGGAGCCUGUGUUCUUGGUUGUCCAUUUCUUGGUGGCAGGGUCAAAGAAGU